rnacentral:lncRNA from 1 species
AACAUUUGAGCAAUUGUGGUAGGACCUGAGAGAAUCUUGUCAUUUGUUGUGCCUGGAGCAUAGUCUAUGUAGACACAGUAUUUGGUUGAGAACACAUAUGCUUUACUCUCUUCGGUGUCAAAGGAACAGUCUAUUCCAGGUUCUGCAAAGAACGAUGCUGUAAGUGAUGGAAAACCACUACUAAUCAAACGCAGAUUAGUCAAAAUCUUAUCAUCUGAUUUUCCUGGAGUGUAAUACAGCCGCACAUACUUAUCCUUCAUGAAGAAAUAGACUUCAUAGUCUUUUGAUGAACGAAAUGCAGCAUUGAUGUAAGCCAUCUUUCUUAACACAAGAGAGAGAUAUGAUUUGAUUUGAGGAUAUAUACUUACAUUCCUCCCAAAGGCACCUAUUUAUACUGUUAUGGAGUGUGAACUUCUUUACCAUUGGUGUUGGAAAGGAAAUCAUAAAGAAUCUUUUACAACAUAAAAAAUAAAAAAAAACGUUGGCAUUAUUGGUGCAACAUGUCCUCUCUGUUUUUUUAUUGGCAUGAAUAGACUUAUUUAUGCAUGUGCUGAAUCACAGAGUUAAUCAAGAAGAGGAUAUCAAAUAAAUAAAUUGAACUAAAAAAAUUGUUAAAACAAAAAAUGUUGUCUAUAUAGCAUUACAAAUGAUGAUUUUUACAAAAAUCGUCAUCUAUAAUGUAAUAUUUUUUUUCAACUAAUGAACAAGAUGACAGUUUGUGCAAAAACGUCAUUAAUUAUGAAAAAAUAAACGAUAAUUUUUAUUAAUAGCUUUAGCCUAUAGCAAAGUAAAAACUACCAUUUUAAUUAUCGUGUAAAUUAAAUUUUUAAGUAUUUUUUUUAUCAGUAAUGAAAAAUCAAUAAAUGGGAACCACUUCAGGGGUGGUCCAACCCUUUUACAAACUCACAUCCAAACCGCCGAAUAAAUAACCAACAAAACCAAGUGCUAAUUUAAAGAUAGUCAAUAAAUUUUUAAAUAAUAGACAACGGAUUGAAAAUAGUUGCUUUAAAACUCUAAAAAAAUUCAUCUAAACACUAUUGAUUGUAACUAAAAAUCACAAAUCUUCAUUUGAGAGGACUAUUAAGACAUAAAAGGACAUCUAAGUAAUAAGUUAUACGUUUGUUUCACAGUGCAAUCGUACAUAUUUCUUUUAGUCAUGGCAAAGAAAAAAAAUUACUUAUUAAGAUAUCUAUGUAGGAUUUUAAUUGAAUAAAAUGCAUGUAAAAUUGGAUUAUUUUACCUUUUUUUUCAUACAACCUAUUAGAAGUGAACUUUAAGCCUAACUCAAUUCUAUAAAAUCGAUUCAUAGUGAACUUUAAGCAUAACUCAAUUUCAUAAAAUCGACUCAUGAAAUGAAGUUUGCAUUCAUUUAUAUACAAUGAAAUGUUUUAUAAUUUCUAAAUUUCUAGUUGACGUGGCAUCUUUAACAAAAUCAGAUAAAUGAUUGAAAGUUGAUCCCAAACAUUCCACUACUUCACAUAUUUUUUCUAUCUUUUAGUGUUUUUUUUUCAUACAAACAUAUUUUUUCUAUCAUUUAGUGUUUUUUUUUCAUACAAACCAUAUUCGAGGGACCACACGUCACAAGAUAUGAAUUUCCAUCAACUUAACAUUAACUUUUAUAAAUAUAUGAUGUUGAUACAAACCAUAUGAAGGUGACAACUGUACCAAAAUUGAUUGCAGGUCCCAAACAAAUACAACACGUGAAAAAUACCAAUUGCAGUGUGGGUCUUAUUUUGUAAGAGUUUAUGGAUCACAUUUAUUUUUUUAUAAAAAAAUUAAUAACAAUGUAAAUUCUAUAUAUAUGUAUAGAAAUAAACUACAAUAAAUUUCUUAAAAAUACAUCUCGUUAAGAUAAAAUUCUGUUUUCAACUUUCUAUUUCAAUUUUUUAUUAAUAUAAAGUAUACACACAAAAUAAAAUAAUAAAUACCAUUAUAAAAUAAAAUAUUGAAAGAUAAAAGUUAGAAAUGUCUGAAUUCGAUAAUGAAAAAGAAAUAGAAAGCACAGAAGAAAACGUAUUGAAUUUAAUAACUUAUCCGAGGACCACACGUAUGAACAAGCACACUAAACGACAUGAAAAAAAAUAAUGUUUGGAACCAACGUUCGGUCCUCUAUGAAAAAUUAAAAAAAUUGGUCUCAAAAUUGGCCCGAAACAAACAACACGUGAAUAAAGUAUAUAUGAAAAAUCUGAAAACAUACUCACAUGUGUAUUCCAUAAAUUACAUCAACACAUUUACUAGUAUUCUAAAUUCUAAUUACAAACCUUUAUUGUAACACCCCAUAAUUUACAUAUAACUAUUACAAUAAAAGUUCUAACAGUUUUUAUAUAAAUUUGGAUUUUUUCAAAACAUUCCUAAUACAUGAUUAGGAUUUAUAGAAAUACAAAUAUUUACAUAUCCAGUUUAAAAGAACAUCUUAAUGUCCUCCAGAACCUUCAACACAUGUAUGGUCAUCUGCUCGUGUACGUCGUACAGUCAUCGUAGUUCAAACACAACAAGAAAAGCAAGGGUAAGCUAAUGAAAAGAAAUUUCAUAUCUUAUCUAAUUUAUUUAUUUUUUGCAAAAAGAACCAAUCAAACAAAUCAUUUAUAAAUAUUUCUUUAAAUGUUAUCAUAUAAAAUUUCAAUAUCAAUUUCAUCAUUCAUAUAGACCACACAUGGAUCUAUUUUCAAUCACAAUCAUUGGAUUUCAUUUCAAUCCUACUUCAUCUUCCCGGAAGACUCAUUAAGUAUGCCCCUACCAGAGACUAACACCUGACCCAAAGAUUACCAUCGAAUCCAAUAGAAAGGAUCAGGGUAAGUUCAAACAUCCAAUACCGAGUGUCUACAAUGGGACCCGGUGUGUAUGAACUCCCUCUCAGCUUCUCACCACCUAAUAUCUUAGUCUACAUGACUUAGAUCAUUAGUGAAGCCAGAGGAUCUCCGUUAAACAUAGGCUUUUCAUACUUAACGUACCAUCAAACAACAACUCAUACAUUAUCCCAAAUGUAUGACAUCAAUUUCAUACAAUUUACAUCAUUCGUAUAUAAUACAUAUCAUUCAAUCAGAACAUUUUAAAAAGUUAUACCAUUCAAGAACUUUUCCUACAUCAAAACAAUAUUUAACUUUCAAACUAUCAAACUAUGAUAUUUAUAAAGUUAAAAUAAUAUAUAAACAAACACACAAUAUAUAAACAAAUAACACCCCUGCAAGAGAAAUUCAAUAUUGGGACCACGUCCCUUCCGCAUUCAGAUUUUCUAUCCUAAGGUGCUAUUAAAAAUUAAAUUAAGCUUCCCUUACCUCAAUUGCUUGUUUUCCAAGCAACUUCAAGAAUUUUGUUCCCCACAGUCUUGAUAAACUUCAAGAUUUACGGGCCUAAUGCAAGUUAUCCAAACAGAACAAAAAUUCAGUAUAUAGUAGAAUAAGUUGAAAGGAUUAAACUUCUCAACUGACCCAACCAAGAUUGAUGACUAAAUCCUAAGAAAAAACAGAUAACAAAGGAUCUCUAGAGUAAAAAUGAACUUACUCUGUUUGAAAAUAAAUCUGAUCGGGUAGAAAUGUACCUUAACUCCUCAACUACAGCGUGGUACGAUCAGAUUCUAAAAUAGAUGAGGUAUGGAGUGAGAAAUUAAAAGAGAAGGUAGAAGGAAGAGAUGGAGGGAAAAAGAAGAAAGAAAAGAAUGGUUAGUGAAAGUGGGGGCAAAGUUCUGCUUCUUUAUCCUCUCUUUUUUUACGCUGUUACAUUUAUGAUAUUAAUUAAUACUCUGAUUGUUAAAAACAACCAAAAUAAAGUAUAGAUAAAAAAAAUUAAAACUUCCCACGAUAAUCGAGGAUCAUUCUUAAGAGUAUCUUAACUUGAAUCUUAGAACUAUAUUCAAUAUAUACACAAAAUUUUAUAUUUUUACUAACUUAAACAUCGAAAUAUUUUUCUACAAAAUGAGGUCUCUCAUUUUCUAAUGGUUGAAUUACUAUAACUUGAAAAGAACUCACUAAUGCUCCCGCCCUGAGUUGACGAACAUAAAUUAAAACAUACUUCACAUGUUACAUCAUCAACAGAUUUACUAGUAUUCUAUUUUAAACAUUUAUAAUAUUAAUUAAUACUCUGGUAGUUAAUUUGAAUUGAUAUAUUAACAUAAAAAUUCUUAUUUAUUAGAUUUUUUUAUAAUUUUAAUUUCAAAAUGUUAAUCUUUUACACUACAAUAAAACUAUUAAAUAACAACUAAUUUCAAAAAUAAAUAAACUAUUAUAUGAAUUAAGUUAAAUAUUAUCUUAUAAAUUAAGAUAUUCUAUUAUUGUAAAAAUUUAUAAACUAUAGUUUCUAAAUUGGUAUUUCACAUAAUUACCAAUAUUUAAUUAUUAACUACUUUAUAUUCUCAAUUAAUCUUUAUAAUAACUAAUAUAUUAUAUUAAUAUUAAUUUAAUUGACAUUAACUUAAAAAAAAAUCACAUCAAUUAAAUUAACAUUAAUUUUAUUUUUUAAUAUUUUUUUGAAUUAAUUUUAGUUAAUUCGUCAUAAAUUUAACAUUAAUACAAAUAUUUUAUUCAUUGAAAAAGAUAAAAUAAAAUAAUCUCAAUUCAUAAUUAACUUAAAAAAAACUGAAAUGUAACUUAAUAUGUAUCUCAAAAUUCUGAUAAAAAAAUUUAAUUCUAAGUUAACAGAUAUUUAUUUAGAGAAAAAUAAACUUACUUAAUUAAAGAUGGUGUAAACUUUUUGUAGCUUAUAUGCUUUGAAAUUAUUAUUUUUGUAGCUUAUAUGCUUUGAACAUUUUUCGGAUUUUUUUUCUUCCUGUUUAAAUGUAUUUCCCAUUGUACCAUCUUUUUAAGUUACUCUCUAAAUGUUUUAGUAAACUAGCUAUUUGAUCUUAAAAAAUUAAAAUUAAUAAAAAAUAUAGUUUAUAAGAUUAUUAGCUAAUUUAUUGAUGCAGACACAGUUUCCUCGUACAAACGUAAUAAAAAACAAACCUCAUACAAAUCAAAAAAUAUUGAAACACAGGUCUCAAAAAAGAGACUUAGAAGUAAUUGGCAUGCGUGUCUUUUAUAAAUUGAUGCUGCAUAUAACUCGAUUUUGUAUUUUUUGUUCAAUGGUGAUUUUCUUAAAAUGUCUUUGUUGUUAAUUAUAACAUUUAAUGAUAUUAAUUAAUACUUUGGUAGUUAAAAAAAGUCAGAAUAAAGAGCACUGAACUUAGUCAAAAAAAGAGAAAUUAAAACCGUAAAAUUCACUGUUUAAAAGUAAAUAUAAUUAUUACAUAAAGCUAUUGCUUAAUUGUUUCUUAUAUUUAAGAACAUAAUUCUUCUUUUCUAAUUUUAACAUUUUUUUACUAAAAUUAUCAUAAUUCAUAUUAUAAGAAAAUAUUAAAUAUUAGUUUCUACAUAGUAACGUCACUUAAAAUGUAGUAUUAUUAAAAUCGACUAAGUCAAAUUUAACAUGUAAAAGAUUAUUUUUUUAAAAUUAAAAGAAUGUAAAAUUAUUUUUAAAUGUAAUUAUAUAUCAUGUAAAGUGUAUACAUCAAUCUCAUGUUGUUCAAAUAUAAUAAUAGGGUUGACUUAGUUAAUUUUGAGUUGAUCUUAAAUUUUUUAACAAGGAAAAAUAUUUGUAUUAAUAUAAAAUUAAUAACAAAUUAACUAAUGUGAAAUUAAAUAAAUCUUAAAAAUAAAUUAAUAUUAAAAAUAGAUUUAGUAUCUAUCUUUCCAUUUUCCCAGUCUAGAUUUAAUUUUUUCAACCACACCAUCCCAAAAGGCUUUCCUCUUAUGACACUCUCUACUGGCAUACCAAAAUAUUUGAAAUGUGUUUUCAUCACAUCAAAAUUAAUAAUAGCAGCAAAAUCCUGAACUGCAAACAAAUCAAUCCCCACGCCACCAUUGCUACUUUUCAAUAAAUUCACCUUUAAAUCAGAUACCAACUAAAAACAUCUUAAAAUAACUUUAAUGAUAAACACUUUUAAUAUUCGCUUGACAAAAAAAAUAGUGUAUUAUCUGCAUAUUGAAGCAUAUUAACAUUGACCUUCUUGCUCCAAACCUCUAAACUCUCUAAAAAAAAACAGUCUCGUCAACUUUUCUAGAAACCUCAACCAAUCCUUCAACCGCUAUAAGAAACAAAAACAAGGCAAGAGGAUCAUCUUGUCUCAAACGUUUCAAAUGAGAGAAUUCCUUAGUCGGACUCAUUAACAAGAAUAAAAACUUUAGUAGAUUCCAGACAAACUUUAAUCCACAAAAUACCAAUCUUCCUAACAUGUAAUAAAUAAACUCCCACUUCAUAUAAUCAUAUGUCUCCUCACAGUCCAUCUUAAAAAAUACACAAGACUUCUUCUUCCUCUUUACUUCCUCUAUUACCUAUUUAUAUCUUUCUACCCCGACCUUUAAGGAAUCAGAUAGAGUUAACUAAGAACACCUUUUGCAGUGAUUUACAUUUAACUUAUAGAGUCUAAGAAGAAAUAUGAAAAAAAUAUAAAAGAUAUAGAACCUCAAUUGUCCACUAAUAAUAUGCAAACUUUGAAAUAAGAUGAUAUGAGAAUUCGAACUUUUUCAAGUACUAAGGAAAAAAAAAAUAUGAGAUUGAGAAUCAUUAAAAUUAAAAAAAAAUAACAACAUUGUAAAGUAGUUUUAUAAUAUAUUUACUCAUAUAUUCAUGGUCCAAUCACCAUUAUAGACAUCUUUUAAGAAUAUAGUUUUGAAGUAUCAUUUGUUAUUUUUCAUAAAACUAAUUUUUUUACUCAAGUAAUCUUUGUUCAUCUAAUGCAAACUUUGACAGUACAUAUCAUCCAAAAAAAAUACCAGUAGCAGCGUGGAUUCUUCUAUAUAUAAACUGCAAUAAAUUUCUUAAAAAUACAUCGUUAUGAUAAAAUUAUGUUUUCAACUUUCUCCAUUUUUAAUAUUUGUAUUUAAUUUAAAUUAGUAUCGGUUAACGUUAAUAUUAUUUAUUGGUUAAUAUUUAUUUAAAUUAACAUCAAUCUUCCUAAAAUUACUGUAAGUUUUUAAUAUCUGUAUUUAGUUUAAAUUAGUAUUAGUUAACAUUAAUAUUAUUUAUUGUUAAUAUUUAUUUAAAUUAACAUAAUCUAACUGAAAUUACUGUAACUUUUUAAUAUCUAUUUAAAUUUGAAUCGACUGAUCAUACGAUGUCUUCCCCUGGCACACCACAAUUGAAUUAGCUAUUAGCUGAUACAGUUGUGAGUGUGUUGGUGUGUGAUUUUAUGCAGGUUCUGUUUUGUAGUGUUGUCUUGUGAGUAAAUUCACAUAUGUGUUAAACCAAACCACACAACCAUACAGUUUUUAUUUAUAAUUAAGAUUAUGAAAAUAGGAAAGACAAACAUGCAGUGUUCUUACAUUAGGAAAAGAAAGAGGCAUUCAAUCCUAAUGUUACAUUAAAGAAACAGAAACAAACGUUGGCAAUGACAGCCUUAUUUGUAACAUAUUAUGAGACUAUGCUUUUUGAUGGAGAGUGAAGCCUUCUUUAGCUGACGGGCAAAAUGUCUUUAAGACAUGGCCAACCAUCAACGAUAGGCUUUAUAUCACUCAGAAGAACGUCAUUAGUUGCAUUUGGAGUGAAUUUGAUACGAACAUAUUGAUCUCCUUUGAAAAGAUAAGCUUCAGACUCCUCAUGAGAAGCAAAAGACGCAUCAAUUCCACUUUCAAAGAUCGUAUCUUUCAGAACAGGAAAUCCAUCAGUGAUUUUACGAAUGGUGCCAACAAGCUGCUUGGAAUCAUAGUCUAUGCGAGUAUACUGAUUGUCCUUGAAUAUGUAAACUUCUUUUCCUAUGGUUGACCUGAAUGCAGAGUCUAUGCCAUCCUCAAACACUGUGUUUUUUAGGACAGGAAAUGUUUCAGCAAUUGUGGCAGGACCUGAGAGAAUCUUGUCAUUUGUUGCACCUGGAGUAUACUCUAUGUAGGCAGACUGAUUGGUUGAGAACACAUAUGCUUCACUCCCUUCAGUAUCAAAGGAACCGUCUAUUCCAGGUUCUGCAAAUACCGUUCCUUUAAAUACUGGAAAACCAGUACUAAUCAAACGCAGACUAGUCAAAAUCUUAUCAUCUAAUUUUCCUGGAGUGUAUUGCACCCGCACGUACUUAUCCUUAAUGAAGAAAUAGACUUCAUAAUCUUUUGAUGAACGAAAGGCAGCAUUGAUGUAAGCCAUCUUUCUUAACACAAGAAAUAGAGGGAUAUAUGAUAUGAUUUGAGGAUGCUUACAUUCCUCCCAUAAGCACCUAUUUAUACUGUUAUGGAGUUGGAACUUCUUUACCAUUGGUGUUGGAAAUGAAAUCAUAAAAGAAUCUUUUACAACAUCAAAAAUAAAAAUAAAAACAUUCGCCAUAUUGGUGCACAUGUCUUCUCUGUUUAUUUAUUGGCAUGAAUACACUUAUGUAUGCAUGUGCUGAAUCAGAGUUAAUCAAGAAGAGGAUAUCAAAUAAACAAAUUGAACUAAAAAAAAUUGACCACAGUUAAAACAAAAAAUGUUGUCAUUUAAACACUAUUGAUUGUAACUGAAAAUCACAAAUCUUCAUUUGAGAGGACUAUUAAGACAUAAAAGGAAAUCUAAGCAAAAAGUUAUAUGUUUGUUUCACAGUGCAAUGAUACAUAUUUUUUUUAGUCAUGGCAAAGAAAAAAAUAUUAAUUAUUAAUAUAUUUAUGUAGGAUUUUCAUCAAAUAAAAUGCAUGCAAAAUUAUGCGAAAUUGGGUUAUUUCACCUUUUUUUCAACCAUUCAGUGUUCUUGUUCAUACAAACCAUAUCCGAGGUACCACACAUCACAACAUAUGAAUUUUCAUUAACUUAACAUUAAUUUUGAUAAAUAUAUGAUGUUGAUACAAACCUUAUCAAGUUGACAACUGUACCAAAAUUGAUUGCAGGUCCCAAACAAAGCACAUGCAGAAGUUAGAUAACAUUUGCUUACGUGUUUCAAUUUUAGUGGCUUUUAAGGUUACGUGUUAUCCUCAAGUGCCACACUCUCAAUAAUCAUUUAAAACAUCCAAUUUUUUAACAUGUUUGCCAUUUAAAAAUAAUUUAUAAUUCACAUUCGUUUUCAUUAAGAUGAACGAAUUCAUAAUAUAUAAAUAAUUAUGGUUUAGUUGGUGUUAAAUUAGAAUUAAUGUUAAUUACUAAAUAAUAAAACUAUUCAAUAGCAACUAAUUUUAAAAAUAAAUAAAUUAUUAUAUUAAUUAAAUUAAAUAUUAUCUUAUAAAUUACAAAAUCAUUAAUAUUUAAGAAAAAUCUAUUAUUAAUAAAAAAAUUAUAAAUUAUGUAGUUUCUAAAGUGAUAUUCACAUAAUACCAAUAUUUUAAUUAUUAACUAUUUUAUAACUAUCAAUAUUUUAAUUAUUAAUUACUUGAUAUUCUUAAUUAAUCUUUAUAAUAACUAAUAUAAUGUUCUUAUGCAAAGUUAUGCUACAUUAUUUUGUGGUUUUAAGCGUCAGCUUAUGAUGCAACCAAGUAGUUUCAGCUGAAGUUCUUCUCUGCUUGUGCCAGACUAUGCAGCUCAGAUCAUCUCUUUGUUUUAGAAUUUUUGUGUAUAAAAGAAGCUCAGUAGUGUUAGGUACCUCUUUUAACUUAAAUAAAUAAAUAAAAAAUCACAUCAAUUAAAUUUAUUUAUUUUUAAUAUUUAUUUGAAUUAAGUUUAGUUCAUUCAUCACAAAUUUAACAUUAAUACAAAUAUUUUAUUCAUUGGAAAAAAUAAAACAAAUUAACCUCAAUUCAUAAUUAACAUACCAAAAUUUUAAGUGUAGUUUAAUAUGCACCACAAAGUUCAGAUAAAAAAUCUAACUAUAACACUAGGAUUUUGAACUAGGAUUCUGAGCUAAUAGAGAUAAAUCUUGGAGUUAAAAGAGUCACAUUUUCUUUUUUUGUUAAUAAUAUUUUUUUUUCAUGUGAUGGCAGAUGAUUGUUGUUACUUGAGGUGUCAGCCUAGCUGAGAUGUCAAGUUGCAUAGUGAUGUCUAACAUGAAAACUUUUUAUAAAAAAAAAAAGUUUAUGCAGAGACAAACCUAACAAGUUCAAAAUUUGACUCAAAUGGAAGAACAAAAAUGAACUUACUUUAUUAAAGAUUCUAAUUUGGCAGUCUUGUAGUAUUCAUUGCUAUGAGUAUGAGUCUAAUGACACACUCCGAUCGCCAAACCUCAAACUGGAGAGCGAGUAGAUCAGAAUCUUAAAAAGAAGACAGAGAAAAGAAAAAAAAAGAAUUUUUUUUAAAGAGAUGAUUAUUCUUUUAAAAUAAAACUUUAAUCUUUUAACUUUAUCAAUAAAAUAUUCAAGUGUCAUUUUAAUAAUACCUACUUUUACUCUAAGACUAUUUUAUUUGAUCCUACCUAGAUAUAUAGUAUUUUAAAAUAUUACUUAUACAUAUAUAAAAUUUAGAUAAAUAUAAUAUAUUUACAAAACAAGGCCAAAUAAAACGUCCAUGAUCUUGUACCUCUAUUCAUAUUUCAUGUAUGGCAAUUUACAAAACAAACAAUGUAUUAUACUAAUUUUAUAUUUUUAUGAAUAUAUUAAAGUUAUUAUUAUUUUUUAUGUAUUUUAAUAUUAAGAUGUAUUUUUAUGUUUUCAACUUUCUAUUUCAAUUUUUUAUAAGUAUACAUACAAAAUAAAAUAAUAAACGUGUUGAAUUUAAUAGCUUAUCCUAGGACCACACGUGUGAACAAGCCCACUAAAAGAUAUGAAAAAAGUAAUGUUUGGGACCAGCAUUCAAUCCUCUAUGAAAAAUCCCAAAAUUGGUCCCAAACAAACACAACACGUGAAUAAAGUAUAUAUGAAUAACUAUUUUCAAAGUAUAGUUAAUUAAUCAAUCUCCUUUUAUGACAACAAUUAUUUUCAUUCAUAUGAAUGCGAAUUAUUUUUUAACGAAUGUAGAGAACUAAUGUUUUAAAAAUAUUGAAAAAAUAAGAAUUCAAAAACUGGUGAAAAUUCGAAAAGUGAUAUUUUUUAAAUUAAGAAAAUUUAAAAUAAUUAUAUUUAAUUAUAAUAGUAUAUAAUUGUUACCAAAAGUAAUGUUGGAAGAAAAAUUAGAUGCAAAAUGUAAUGAUUAUAAAUAUAUGAAUACUAUGAAAAAUAAUAAUAAUUAUAAGAAAAAAUGAAAAAUAAUCAUAUUUAAUUAAUGAAUUGUAGUCCAAUAAAUUGUGAAUAUAAUGUAUUACAAUAGAUGACAAGUAUUGUUAGAGUCUUAUUGAAAGAAGUUAAGACCAAAUAAUCAUAUUUAACUAAUUCUUCGUAAUAAAAAUUAUCUACUUUAUGAACUAAUUAUUAAACUUAUUUUAUAUUUUAUAGAUGUUCAACUACUCGAAUCCGAAUAAAUUGAUUAUUUAACGAUAGUUUGGACAUCCUAUUUGCUCAACUUUUACAACACCUUAAAAUAGAUCAUGAUUAAAAUAACUUAAUCAUAUAUUUUCUACUAUUAGAUUUAGUUUAUAUGCUUUUAAUAUAUAUAAAUUUUGAUUUUACAUAAUUAAUUUUUAAUUUGAUUUGAUGUGGUUAAUAUUUUAUUAUUUUAUGAGCAUGUUUUUCUGUCAUAUUCUAAAAUCUGCAUGGGAUUUUUCAACUAAUGAACAAUAAAGGUGACAGUUUAUUAAAAACGUCAUCUAUUAUAAAAAAAAGUAAUUUUAAUUAUCAUGUAAAUUAAAUUUUUUAAAUAAUAGCAAAAUAUAUGACGGAUUAAAAAUCAUCAUUUUAAAACUCUAAAAACUUGUCAUCUAAAACACUUAAUAUUAAAAAUCACAAAUCUUCCAACUGUUAACACAUAUUUUUUUUUUAUCAGUAAUAAUAAAUAAAUAAAUAUGAGUUAGUUUAGGGUGAUCUAACUCAAAUACAACUUAUUAAAAAUAGUCAACCAACAAAAUACUAACCAAACUAUAUCAAAAUUAUUCAAAUUACUCUGAAAAAAAAAAAAACUCCAAAACCAACGAUCAAUAAAAUAUAAUCACAAUUAAAUUGAAUUUAAGCAAAUCAUAGAUUCAAGACAUCAAUUUAAAUAAAAAAAAUAAAUAGAUGAAAUUUUAAAAGAAAUUCAAAACCAAAUUUUCAUUUCAACUAAAACAAUCUUUAAAUAAUUCAUACUACAUUUAAAAAUAACCUAAAAUAUUUAUAAAAAAAAAUUGGACAACUGUACCACAAUUGAUUCCACCGAUAAAUACAACAUGUGAAAAAAUACCACUAGUGUGGAUUGUUUGGCAUAUAAAUAAAAGUUAGAAAUGUCUGAUUUCGAAAAUGAAAAGAAAUAGAAAACACAGAAAACGUGUUAAAUUUAAUAGCUUAUCCGAGGACCACAUGAUUAUCUUUUUAUAAUUUCUAUAAUUUCUUUUUAUCUUUUUAACGUAUUUCACAGUUCGUUUAAUAAUUUAUAAUAAUCAAUUAUAAAAUUAAAAGAAUUAAUGUUAAGAUAAAUCAUAUAUUUAUCAAAAUUAAUGUUAAGUUAAUGGAUAUUCAGUCCUCUGUCUGGUUUGUAUGAAAAAAAAAGUUAAACAACCCAAUAUCUUAUCUUUCAUCAUAAAUAAUUCUACAUAAUUAUAUUCAAGAAAAAUAUUUAUUUCACAAUCGUCCCAUCCUACAAUCCCAAAAAUAUUAAUUGAAAUUUAUAAUUUUAUUAAUUUUGAAAAAAAUUCUAACUAAGGGUUUUUUUAUUUUUUUUUUUAAAAAUUAAUAUUUAUUAAGCUUGUAGAGUAAACACGGUUGUCAAAAUAUUAGAACUCUUAUAUUCAAAUUUUUUUUUCUCAAUAUUUCUUACAUUAAAUAAAUACAUAAGACGAAUUAAACUCUAAAUUCUAAAGUUAGUAACUAAAAUUUUAUCAACCAAUUAAAUACAAAUUUAAAAAUUAUUUAUUAAUAAUAAAUAAUAAAAAUAAUUUAGAUAUUAAUAAUUUGUUAAGAUAAAUAUUGAAUAAAUUCCUAAACAUAUAUAUACAAUAUAAUAUAUAAAAAUUUAUACUGAAAUGUUAAAUUUUUGUGAAUAAUUAUGGUUUAUAGUUGUGAUUGUGAAUAUUUGCUAAAACGUAGUUGAAAAUUUCAAAAUGUUGAGCAGGACACAACUCAAUGUUUGCAAUAGUUCUCAAUGUCUAAAAGAAUGCAAUGAUAAUUCCAAGGUAAAAUUAUCUCCCAUAUUAUAGAAUUUAAUAUCUUGUUCAUUUCUUUACUAUUAAACUUUUUCUAAAUUCUUCCUACUAUUUCUAAAACUAUCAAUUUGAUUAUCCUUUUCUUAAAAAUCACUAUUUCUGGACCCUUUCUCUCCCACCCCAACCCACUCUAAAUUGCUAAAUUGGUGAUUGUUGAUCUUUCUACAUCUCCAUACUUUCUUAUGACAAUCCAUAAGUUUUUUAAUUCCUAAAAUAUCUUUUUUAACAUUUUGGAUUAUGUAAUCUGGAAGUCUUUUGUGAUUAGCUUCUGGAUUACAAAAUCUGAAAGUCUUUUCUAUACACGAGAUUAGCUUUUAGAUUAUGUAAUCUAAAAGUCUUUUUCUUUCAUAUGUUUGAUUAGCUUUCGAAUUACAUAAUCCAGAAGUCUUUUCUGGAUUAAGAUUAGCUUUCGGAUUACGUAAUCUGAAAAUCUUUUUUCAAAUGCGUGAUUAGCUUCCAAAUUACAUAAUUCAUACACUUAUCUCAAAUCCAAAAAAGACUUUCGGAUUUCGUAAAUCUAAAGGAAACUUUCGGAUCCAAAAAAUCUUCUAAAUUAUGUAAAAGAGUAUUUUUCACAUUUGGUACGAGGAUAACAAAAAAAAAAAAGUAUGGAAGUGCAUGAAGAAGGAGUCUGAAAUUCGUAUGGAACUCUCCCAUCAAUUUCAAUGCAUACUUGCCACAUUUAUACCAGCAUCUUUUAGUAGUUUAAGAUUUAAAGUUUAAAAUUUCAUAACUACUGAACACAGCCAUUGAACAAUCCAUUUGUAUAAGCUUUUCCAAGAGUACCAACAUCCCUCGCCAACCACCUGGUAAGUUUCAGCAGAAAAAAAAAAUUGAUCUGGAUAAUGAAGAACAGCUGGAUCAGCAUGAAAAUGAAAAACACGUCCAAUUUCAUGGUGAACAAACUCUCUGACAACACUAUAACGAUAUUUAUCUGAAUGAUCACUAAAAUGAAAAGAGAAGACGUGAAUUAUAAAUCAUUAUAUAAUUAAGAAUAAACUUUUACUUGAGUUACAGUAAAAAAAAAAAAAAACUACUAGCUCAUAUUGACAUGAAUGAAUGAGGUAAUAGUUUAGAUACUGCUUGCUUGAGAAAAAAACAGAUCAAGAUGAAUAUAGCUUGAGGGAGCCAUUCAUGGAGGAAGAUAAUGAUAAAUCAGAAAAAGAUAAUAAUCCAGAAAUAAACUAGACGAAACCUAGAAAUAAUAAACCAGAGUUAGUACAACGAAAAAAUAAAAAAAGAUAAUGAUAAAUAUUGUGCAAUAAGAAUUUAAAAUAAAUCACAAAAACUAAAGCAAGUUAAAAUUUAAAAUUAAAGUUAAUCACGAUUAAUUAAAACUACAAUUGUAUGUUAUGACACAAAGCAAGAAUUCAUGUUUAAAACACUACAACAUCGAAAUUAAAGGUAAAAAUAGUUUAUCAGAAAAAAAAAAUUAUAAACAAGAGAGUGUUUAGCAAAAUCCAUAACAUAGACCAGCAAUAACCACAAACAAAUAAUUAUGGUCAAUCAUGUUUGUUUUAAGAUGAAUUAGUAAACUGGAUCCCUUAUAAUAAUGCAACUGUAAAAUGACCUAAUUAAUUCAUAAGGAUAGAAAAGUUUGUCCCUGCAAGAAUAAGAUUAAAUAAAUUAUGCUCACUUAGUAUAUAUUUUAAAUAGAGUUUUACACACUGAAAAAAUCCAAGAGAAUGUAAAAUAACUGAAAAGAAUAGGUAACAGAAAUCACCUUACAUAAACAAUCAUUUUCCUUGUGCCUUAUAAAUAGUCUUAGGAAUACAAGCCAAACUUUUAGACUCUGGUAGAGCUAUGAUGUUUGGAAAACUAAUUCAUUGCACAUUGGCACUGUGAAAUAACAAAACAAAAAAUAAAAGGACCAAAAUAAAAAUAUAUAUAUAUAUUUUGGUUGGGUGUCUUUUGUAUAAUAUUUUGGUUAUUGUAGUGUAAUGUAUGUCAGAUCCUUAGUUAGUUGGGUGAUGAAAAAUUUGUUUGGUGUUUUUCUAAACUCCUUUCAUGGAAGAGAAGCUUCGAAACUACCUAGCGUAGCUUCAAAACUAUCUAAACCCUAAACCGCUCCAACUUUAAAUAAACAGUUAUUUCUAUGUUUCUAAAUCUCGUUAACCAACAUGAUCCAAACAUUAUUCAACAUAAGAUUAACCGAAGUAGAUGCAUCUUGAAUCUUGAAAUGUUCGAAAUAUGACUCAUGGACAAUAAGAUCGACCGAGCUCACUCCAAACUAGUCGCAACAAAGAUCCAAAUUAACUAAACAACUCUCACAAUGUAAUUAUACAUAUUCUUUUUUAGUCAUGGCAAAGAAAAUAAAUAUUAAAUUAAAUAUUAUUAUCGAAUAAAAUGCAUGCAAAAUUAGGUUAUUUCACUUUUUUUUAUACAAACAUUCUACUUCACAUAUUUUUUCAAUCGUUUAGUGUUCUUGUUCACACAAACAAUAUCCUAAGGACCACACGUCACAACAUAUGAAUUUCCAUUAACUUAACAUUAAUUUUGAUAAAUAUAUGAUGUUGUUACAAAUCAUGUCAAGGUGACAACUGUACCAAAAUUGAUUGCAGGUCCCAAACAAAUACAACACGUGAAAAAAUACCACUAGCAGUGUGGAUUCUUUAGCAGAUAUAUACGUAUAUAUAUACACUGCAAUAAUUUUCUUAAAAAUACAUCGUUAAGAUAAAAUUCUGUUUUCAAUUUUUUAUUAAUAUAAAGUACACACACAAAAUAAAAUAAUAAAUACCAUUAUAAAAUAAAUAAAAAAUAUUGAAAGAUAAAAGUUAGAAAUGUCUGAAUUCGAAAAUGAAAAGAAAUAGAAAACAGAAAACGCAUUGAAUUUAAUAGCUUAUCCGAGGACCACGUUACAUGAUUAUAUUUUUAUAAUUUCUAUAAUUUCAUUUUAUUUUUUAACGUAUUUCACAAUUUGUAAUAAAUAAUUAUAAAAUUGAAAGAAUUAGUGUUAUGACAAUAUCAUAUAUAAGUGUAUGCAAUCCUCAACCUCAAGAGCAGUAGAAUGUUUGGGACAAGUAUUCAAUCCUCUUGAUUUGUAUGGAAAAAAAAAUAACCCAAUUUUGCAUGCAUUUUAUAUGUAUUUGUUAAAGUUGAUUUUUGGUAAAUACUUAAUAUGUAUUUGUUUUGUUGUAGUGAUUAAAUCUUGCUGUAUACAAAGUUAACGGGUGAUACAAUAUCAGAAAUAGCUCUGCAAUUUUUAUUUUUUUUAAAUCUACAUGUUAUUCAAAUAAAUAUAAUAAUAUUUGCUUAAUACAAUAAAUAUAGUACUAAAAAUAAAUGAAAAAACUCUAAACAUACUCACAUGUGUAUUCUAGAAAUUACAUAGGCAGAUUUACUAGUAUUCUAAUUACAACAUGUAUGAUAUUAAUUAAUACUCUGAUAGUUAAAAACAACCAGAAUAAUAAAGUAUAGAUGAAAAAAUUAAAACUCAAAAUGGACUUAUGCAUGCAUACCAAUUUAUACAACAUACACAUGUCAAUAAUAAAGUUAUUAUGUUAAGUAAGUAAUAUUGCAAAUUAAAAUAUCCUAUGAUAGUGCUAAACUUAUCCAGUUUAUGUGACGAGGCAAAGAAAUUUGUAUUUUUUUAAUUUGAGUUUAUUAAUCGAAAAAUGAUUUAUAGAUCAUAUUUAUUUUCAUUAAGACGCAUGAAUUCAUAAUAUAUAAAUAAUUAUUAGUUUAGCUGGUGUUAAACUAGAAUUAAUGUUAAUUAAUAAAUAAUAAAUUAAAUAAAUAUAAAUAAUAAAAUCAAACAAUAUUAGCAUCAAUUAAAUCGAAUAAUUUUAUUUAUUUUUAAAAAUAAUUUAAAUUAAUUUUAACAAAUUCAUCAUUGACAUUAACAUAAAAGAAUUUACAUUUUUAACUUUAAAAGGUUAAUCUUUUACACUAUAAUAAAAUUAUUAAAUAACAUUUAAUUUUUUUUAAAUAAUUAAUUAUUAUAUUGAUUAAGUUAAAUAUUAUUUUAUAAAUUAAAAAAUAUUAGUAUUUUAAAAAAAUAUUAUUAAAUAAAAUUUAUAAACUAAUUUUAAAUUACUAUCUCACACUUAAUCUUUUAACUAUUAAUUAUUUUAUAUUCUCAACUAAUCUUUAUAAUAACUAAGAUAUUAUAUUGUAUUAAAGUUAAUUUAGUCAAUAUUUAAUAAUGUUACAAUAUUGAGUGACACAAUUAUUUAGAAUUUAAUUCGAUAAUUUUUAUAAUAAAUUAUCAUAAUUUUAGUAAAAAAUAAAAAAAGAUUGAAAAAAAAAUUAUGUUUAACAUAAAUAAUUUUUUAUUUUCAAAAAUAAAAAAAAUUAAAAUUGAAGCACUUAUUUUAUAUGUAAUUAAAACAUAUUUAACCUUAUUAUCAAAAACAACUUUUCGUUUCGUGUACGAAUAUCAUUGAGUAUAUGGAAUCUCAUUCAGCACAAGAUUUAUUUGUGUUACCUGUAAAUGGAAUUUUUUUAUAAGAAUAUUUUAAUGAUGUUUAAAUAUAAUUUUUUUCUAUAUAUAUAUAUUAUGGGAUUUUCUAUUUAGUUCACACAAUUUUAAAAAAAUAUACUUAAAGAUAAUUAUUAUUUUUAUAUAUAAGACAUAUAAUUUUUGUGUUACUACUCUAUUCAAAUCUUAUUUUUCUAUAUUUCUUACAUUAAAUAAACAGAAUAGACAAUUUAAAAUAUAUAUUUAAUUUUUUCAAUAAUUGUAAUAUUUAAUAAUAAGUUAAAUUAUAUAUUUUUUAAAAAAAAUACGAAGAUGACAAUGUGCAUGUUUUCGUCCGUGUAUAUAUAUAAUUAUUGUAUAUUACUAAUUAAAAUAAGUUAUUAUAGUAGGAAUGGAGAAAGAAAGUUGAUGCGAUGACAAAACAGUACACGACAAUGAUUUUAAGUAUUUUUGUUUUAGGUUUGGUCUAACCCCACCCUUUAAUCUUAUCCAGAAGUAAGAGGAAGGACACAUUUCUCACGUGCUUUACUUUACUAAGUUAGAAAUAAGUGUAUUCAUGAUAGUUUCCUGUAUCAAUAGUAAAGGACUUCCCACUCCAUAAUAGUAUAAAUAGGUGUCUUUCAUAGGAAUCUAAUCAUCCACAAAUCAACUCAGAUCUCUCUAUUUAUCUAUACUUUAUCCAUCAUUUUCUACAGUUUGUUAAGAAAAUGUCAAUCCCUCCACCAAAUGAUCCAUCCAGAGGUUCAUCAGAAUUCUCACAGCCUCUCCGAAUGGUAGAUUUUGUUGAAGCUCUAGAAUUGUUAAAUAAUAUCAACCGUGUGAACGUCGUGGAAGGAAACUUGACUGGAAUUGAGUACAGGACAGGUGAUCAAGAAUUAGAUAUUCGUCGUCCUGUAUAUCGUUGGGACAGAAGGCCCUACCAGGAGAUCUUUGAAAAUGGCUUCCAAGCAUGACCUCAAGGACAAACUCCCAACUCCACUUAUUAUGAUUUGCAUCACUUCAUUGAACAUGCAGGAGCCCCUCUUGAUUCCAAUAGGCCUCCAACUACAACACAUGUGUACCACACUCAACAAUGCUUGGCAACCAACACCUUCUAUCGAAGUCCUCCCACCCGGCUCUCAGAUCCAAUUUUAUCAUUAUGAAAUUUAUGCUCCUGGUGGUAUUUGGUAUUUGGGUUGCUCUCAGUCUUAAUAGUUACCCAUAUAUUUCUCAAGCUGAAGUUUGCUUUGUUGGAGGAAUUGCAUCUCAGUACAUUCGAUCUUGUCUCAUAUUCACAGCAACACGUGAAGCCGGAGCAAGGUUAGAUUACAUCUCAUGCUAUAUAAUUUUUAUAAUCAUCUCAUAUAAUCAAUCACUAACUAUAACCUAUUAUAUUGUGCAGGUUUCCGAGAUUACAGAGAGAAACAAGAUUGGUGAUAAACAGAAAUUUUAAUCCAGUGUCAUUUCCUUACCUUGAAGUUGUAGUUCAUAUGCCAGUGUACUACUACAGAGAUGAUAAUGGUGUAAACAGAUACCUACCUGAAGAAACUUAUCCGCCUAGGAGAGAGAAAAGAGAGGUCUUGAGUGCUGAUGAGGAUGCUGCUCUUAAGUGGUAUACUAGUUCAGUUCUAGAGAUACCAAGUUAUAUAAAUUCUGCAUUGCGUUCAUCAAGAACAAAUGAAGUUUAUUUCUUCUUAAAAAAUAAGUAUGUGCGGGUUUAUUACACUCCUGGACAAACAGAUGAUAAGAUUUUGACUGAUUUACGUUGGAUUUAUGAUGGCUUUCCAUCACUUGUUGAUACGCCAUUUGGAGAAUAUGGAAUAGACUGUGUCUUCGACACUGAAGGCAACGAAGCAUAUAUCUUUUGUACCAAACUUUGUGCCUACAUAGACUAUGCUCCAGGUACAAUGAAUGACAAGAUUCUCUCAGGUCCUACCACAAUUGCUGAAAUGUUUCCCGUCCUAAAAAACACAGUGUUUGAGAAUGGCAUAGAUUCUGCAUUCAGGUCAACCAAAGGAAAAGAAGUUUACCUAUUCAAGGGAAAUAAGUAUGGUCGCAUAAUGUAUGAUUCCAAACAGCUUGUUGGCACCAUUCGUAAUAUCACUGAUGGGUUUCCUGUUUUGAAAGGUACCAUCUUUGAAAAUGGAAUUGAUGCUUGUUUUGCUUCUCAUAAGGAGAAUCAAGCUUAUCUUUUCAAGGGAGAAAACUAUGUACGGAUCAUUUUCACCCCAGGCACUACCGAUGACACUCUUGUGGGUGAUGUGAAGUCUAUCUUUAAUGGUUGGCCACUUCUUAGAGGCAUUCUACCUCUCGACAAUAAAGGAGUUGAUGCUCAUCCUCAAUCUGAUCAUGAAGAACCAUAUCCUGAUCAACAUGAUGAGCUUUGAAAAAAAAAUAACAAGAUGCCAUAAUAUGAUAAGAAUAAGGCUUUCAUUGCCAAAGUAUUGCUUCCUUUUCUUUCUUUCUUUCCUAAUGUAAUAAGUGUGGAUGCUUGUGUUUACUUUCUUCUAUGUGGAUAUUUGCUUUCCUUUCUUCAUGUAAUGCUAAUGGUUUAAUAAUAAAAGUGUGCUUUUUGAUUGAAUAAAUUAUUCUAAAUUUGUUUCCUUUAAAAAAUUUACGGAGAUGUUUAUUGGUUGAUUUGAUUCCAGUGUAUUUUUUAAAGGCUAUGUGUAACACCCCAUAAUUUACAUAUAACUAUUACAAUAAAAGUUCUACCAGUUUCUAUACAAACUUGGAGUUUUUCAAAACAUUCCUAAUACAUGAUUAGGAUUUAUAGAAAUACAAAUAUUUACAUAUCCACAGCUCAAAAUAAAACUCUGUAACCUCUAAGGCUCUCCUGCACCUGUAUGGUCAUCUGCUCGUGUACAUAGUACAGUCAUCGCAGUUCAAACACAGCAAGAAAAGCAAGGGUAAGCUACUGAAAAUAGAAUUUUAUAAUAUACACACUUAAAUCCAAAGAGAAAACCAAGUUACAUGAUCAAUUUCUCAAAUUACACAAUCUUCUUCAAAUCCCAACAUUAAAACAAUCACAUAGAUCUCACAUGGAUCUACACAUCCAGAAUAUUCAACAAACAACAUCUUCCGGAAGACCCGUAUUAAGUAAGUCCUACCAGAGACUAACACCUGAUCCAAAGAUUACCAGCGAAUCCAACAAAAAGGAUUAGGGUAAGUUCAAUACAACCCAAGCCGUGCAUCUCAUAUGUCACAGUGUGCAUGAACUCCCCCAUCAGCUUCUCACCACCUGAUAUCUUAGUCUAUGUGACUUAGAUCAUCAGUGAAGCUCGGAGAUCUCUGUUACCACUUAGGCAUCAAUACUUAAUAUACAACAAACAUCAGUCCAUACAUUAUCUCAAAUGUAUGAAUUCAAUUUCAUACCAUUUCGUCAUACAAUAUCAUUCAAAAAGUUAUCCACAAUAUUCAAAAGUUUAUUUGGCAUAAAAAAAUACACUUUAAUACUAAAUCAUCAAAACCCAAUAUUUUCACAAAUUUAAAUAAUAUAUAAACAAACAACCCAAUAUAAAUAAACACACAACAUCCCUGCAAGAGAAAUUGAAUAUUGGGACCACGUCCCUUCCGCAUUCAGGUCUUCUAUCCUAGGGUGCUAUUAAAAAAUAAAUUUAGCUUCCCUUACCUCAAUUGCUUGCUUUCCAAGCAACUUUUAGAAUUUUAUUCCCCACCGUUUGGAUAAGCUUCAAGAUUUACGGGCCUAAUGCAAAUUAUCCAAACAGAACAAAAUUUCAGUAUAUAAUAGAAUAAGUUGAGAGGAUUAAACUUCUCAACUGACCCCAUCAAAAUUGAUGACUAAAUCCUAAGGAAAAACAGUGAACACAGGAUAUUUAGAGUAAAAAUGAACUUACUCUGUUUGAAAAUCUGAUCGGGUAGAAAUGUUCCUUAACUCCUCUGCUACAGCGUGGUAUGAUCAGAUUCUAAAAUAGAUGAAGAUUGAGAGAGAAAUUAAGAGAGAGGGAGAGAAGAGAAUUGGAGAGAGAGAGAAAGUGGUUUGGAAGAAUGAAGAAGAAAGUGAUAGUGGGCACACUGUUUCUGCUUUAUAUAAAGAAAGUGUCGUUACACUAUGAUACGUAAACUCAAGUAAAAAUGAUAUAAAGAAGAAAAGAAAAAUAAAUCCAAUAAAAUUAUUGAGGACUAUGUGAAUUUCAUAAAGUAUAAUCUAUUUUUUUAUUGUCAAUAAAUAAAUAAAUUAAAAAAAAUAUUUUAGAAGUGUUAUAAACUUUAUAAAAAUAUCAACAACCUCAUCAUCUUGUUUACGAAUUUAGAAAAAUAUUACAAAUAUCAAUAAUAAGCAAACAAAACCAAUACGAGACCUAGGCUUCCUGCAAAAUUAUGCAGAAAACCUUGCAUAAGUAUCCUUUUGAUGAAGCACAAUCUAUAUGUGAAACAAAAAGAAUGUUCAUAUGUUAAAAACCCCACAACAUAUUAUAAUUAUUAGAAUAAAAAAAUAAUUUAAAAUAAAAUUAUUAGAAUUAGGUGAGUAUCCAAUUUGUACACUUUGAUUUCAAAUGUUAUAUUUAAACAAAAUCAAGUUUGAAAAACUAUACUAAUGACGAUAAUUUAAAAUACAUAAAAUCAAAGAAAUACAAUAAUAUUUAGAGGUGGUGGUGAAAAUUAUCGUCCAUGAUAAUGAACAACAAAAACAACUAUAUAAAAAAUUGUCAUCUAUAUAAAAAUAAAAAUUACAACUUUAAUCACAUCUAAAUUAAAAAAUAAAUUAACGACAAUUAAUAGACAAUAUAUUGAAAAUGAUCACUCUAAAGAUUCUAAAAAUUAUCGUCUAAACACCUUUGUCUCACAAUGAUUAUACAUAUUCUUUUUAGUCAUGGCAAAGAAAAUAAAUAUUAAAUUAAUUAUUAAGAUAUUUAUGUAGGACUAUUAUCGAAUAAAAGGCAUGCAAAAUUGGGUUAUUUCACUUUUUUUAACACAAACAUUCUACUUCACAUAUUUUUUCAAUCGUUUAGUGUUCUUGUUCACACAAAAAAUAUCCUAAGGACCACACGUCACAACAUAUGAAUUUCCAUUAACUUAACAUUAAUUUUGAUAAAUAUAUGAUGUUGUUACAAACCAUGUCAAGGUGACAAUUGUACCAAAAUUGAUUGCAGGUCCCAAACAAAUACAACACGUGAAAAAAUACCACUAGCAGUGUGGAUUCUUUAGCAGAUAUAUACGUAUAUAUAUACACUGCAAUAAUUUUCUUAAAAAUACAUCGUUAAGAUAAAAUUCUGUUUUCAAUUUUCUAUUAAUAUAAAGUAUACACACAAAAUAAAAUAAUAAAUACCAUUAUAAAAUAUAAAAAAAUAUUGAAAGAUAAAAGUUAGAAAUGUCUGAAUUCGAAAAUGAAAAGAAAUAGAAAACAGAAAACGUAUUGAAUUUGAUAGCUUAUCCGAGGACCACACGUUACAUGAUUAUCUUUUUGUAAUUUCUAUAAUUUCAUUUUAUCUUUUUAACGUAUUUCAUUUUAUAAAUUCUAGAGUUGAUAAUUAAACUUUUGAUAAUUAAUUAUAUAUCAAUUUUAAAAUAUUUAUCAAUAAUAAUAAAAACUAAUUUAAAUACUAAUAAUUUUUUAAUAUUUAAAAUAAUAUUUAAUUUACACAAUAUAAUAAAUAAUUAUUUUUAAAAUAAAAUAAAAUUAAUUUUUAUUUAAUAAUUUUUUUAGUAAUAAUCUUUAUAAAAGUUCAAAACUGAAAUUUAGCUAAUUGAAGAAGUUAUAAAAGUUCAAACCUGAAAUUAAUUAUUUGAUUAAAUUAGAAACUAUUUUAUAAAUUAAAAAAAUAUUAAUAUUUAAAAUAAUUUUUAUUAUCAAUAAAAAAAUAUAAUUUUUUAAAACUGAUAUCUAAUUAUUAAUUAUUAAAAUUUUAAUAUAUUUUAAAUUAAUUAUUUUUAGUGUUUUAAAAAUUAAUUUAGAAUUUAAAGUAUUUCUUAGUAAAUAAAAUCUUGAUAACUAAUUUAAAUACUAAUUUAUAAAAUUUUAUUAAUAAAAAACACUUUAUAUAUUAAUAACUUUUUAUUUCUAAAAUAAUAUAUAAUUUAAAGUUAAUACAAUUUUUAUUUUUAAAUUUAAUUAAUAUUUAAUAAUCUUUUAGUGUGAUAUGCAGGCAUAAGUCCAUUUUAUAUAUAUUUUUAUCCUAUAUUAUAUUUGCAUAGCAUAAAUGUCAUCAAAGUAUAACAUUUAUAAUACUAAUUAAUACUCUCGUAGUUAAAAACAGCCUCGUAAAAAAGAGAAAGAAAAAAAAUUCUCUGUUUAAAAAUAAAUAUAAUAGUUACAAAUGAUAUUGUUUAAUUGUUUCCUAUAUCUAAGAACAUAGUUUUUGUUUCCAAUUUUAGUAAUUAUUUUACUAAAAUUAUCAUAAUAAAAAAAUAUCAAUUAGAAUUAGCUUCUAAAUAAUAGCAUAAAAAAUGUAACAUUAUUAAAACCCACUAAGUAAACUUUAACAUGACCUAAAAGAUUAACUUUUUGUGUAAAAAUGUAAAAUUAUUUUUAAAUAUAUUGUUUUGUGUUAAAAAUGUAAAAUUAUUUUUAAAUAUAAUUUUAUAUUAUGUAAAGUGUGUGUAUUGGUUAAGUUGAUGCUUAAUAUGAUAAUAUAGUCAACCUAACUAAUUAUGAGUUGAGGUUAAUUUUUUUUAAAUAUGUAAAAACAUUUGUGUUAAUGUGUAAUAAAUUAAUUAACAUUAACUCAAAUAAAUAUUAAAAUGUAUUUAAUUCCAUAUGGUUUAAUUAACAUUAAAUUAAAUAACUUUUAUAAAGUAAAAAACAUAUGGACGUCAAUUUAGCUAAUAUUAAAUUAUUUUAAUUAAAAAUUAAUGUUAGAGUUUACUUAACUAACACUAAUUAGAAUUGUAAAAAUUGACACUAAUGAACUAGUAUUCAUAGUUUUAGAGCCUGUUACAUAUAUAAUAUAAAUUUAUCACUAUUAAUUAAUUAAUCCUAAUUUUUACUUGUUAGAAUCGAUUUUUAGUGAAGUUAAAUUUAUAUUUUCUUAUAGUGAUUUGAGUUAUAUAAAAAAAAAUGAAAUCAACUUCUUCAAUUAGAUAUAUUUUGGGGUUUGAACUUUCACAAAGAUUAUAUUUUCUAAUUUGGUAUAAAGUGUGUUUAGUUUAGGAUGUAUCUUGAAAUUUUUGUAGGUGAAUUUCUGAUAUAAUAAUUAUGAACUUUUAAUUUUAUUUUCAAUCUAAUAAUAAAUCUCAUGGCUUCUUCAAGAUUAGGAUUGCAAGUUAUGUUACAAAGAGUACUUUAUUCUUCAAGAUUGUAAAUUAUGUCACAAAGGAGUAAAUACAUGCUUGUGUAGACUAGCCUUAAGGAAUUGGAAAGUUAGGUCUCAUUCCUUCCAAUAAGACUCAUACAAGAAUACGAAAUGGUUAAGUCUUGUUUGAUUAGUACUCAUCAUUUUCCAAUAAAGAUCCUAGUUAGUGCAAACUAAUCUAAGUAUCCAAACUACAUAUAUUAUUUUUGGUAGAGUAAAUUUAUUUGGAUUUUUCAAAUCCAUUUAAAACAAACUAAAUUUAUAUUAAAUCUACUUUAUCAAUUAGAUUCAAUUUUUUAUGGGACUGACUUGACGUGGGUCAACUCAACCCAACCUUGGUAGACUUGACUCGACCUACCUUAAGUCGACUCAGCUCGACAUGAUCUACCUGGUCCGAGCUGACUAAGCUCGAAUCGGGCCCAAGCCGACUCGGUUCGACCUAGAUCUGACUUGACUUGGCUUGAGUUGGGUUAGACGUGUUGACUUGAACUCGGGCCAACUCGACUCGACCUUGAAUCGCACCGACUUGGCUUUUUCUAAACCUAGGCCAACUCAACUCGACCUGGAUCUGGGCUGACUUGGCUCAACUUGGCCUCGGGCCAACUUGGCACGACAUGGAACAUGUCCGACUAGCCUCGAACUAGGCUUAUGCGCAGACUGACUUGGAAGCAGGUUGAUUUAGCUAGACUUGGGCUCGAGUAGACUCGACUCGACAUGGGACCAUACAUACUUGACUCGACUUGGCUCAACCUGGAUUUGGGCCGACUCGGCUUGGCAAGGGGCCCAUGCCGACUCAUCUUGAAAUGGGUUCAAGUUGACUCGACUUGACCUGGUACCAAGACAACUUGGCUCGACUUGAGCCCAGACUGACUCUGCUCUACAUAAGCCCAUGCUGACUCAACUUGACAUGGGGUCAUGUCGGCUCAGCUCAACUUGGUACUAGGUCGAUUCAAGUUGACUUGGGCCUGAACCAACUCGGUUGAUAGAGGCUCGACACGACUUGGGCCUGAACAGACUCGGUUGGACAGUGUUCGAAUCGACUCGACUCCACCAAGACCUAAGUUGACUCGGCUGGACCUGGACUUGGGUCGAAUCAACUGCACUGGGCCGGACAGGCUUUACCUCAGCAUGCACUGACUCUACUCCACAUGGGCAUGAGCUCACCUGUCUCUACAUGGGUUUGGGUUGACUUAGCUCAAACUGGGUCCAUGCCAUCUCAAGUCAACAUGGGUCCAGGUUGACUCGACUCGAUCCGGGCUGGGGUCGAGACAACUCGACAUGGGUUCGGGUUAACUCGACUCGGCCCGGAUCGACUCGGCUAGACCUGGUCCCGUGUCAUGUUGGCUCGACUUGGACUGGAUCAUUUUGACUCAAUCUAGGCCCAAGUCGACUCAACUAGACUUGGGCUCGAAUCGACUUAGCUCGACUUGAGUCCUGGUUUACUUGACUCAACCUAGGUCCGAAAUGACUCAAAAUCCAUCACAAAAUUCAUUUUGGAUAAUUAAAAAUGUAUUGAAUGUAUAUCUAAUCCAAAUCUAUUUAGAUGAAUUGAAUUUAAAUCCAAAAAAUAAAUUUGAAUUUAAAAUCUAAAAAAUAAAUUUGAAUUUAAAAUAAAUAUAUUUAAAUGGACUUACAAACAAUAAAUUUUUUUUGAAUAAUUAUGAAUUACAAUUUAAUUUUUUUAAAAAGAUAGGUACCUUAUAAAAGAAUGGUUUUAAAGGGAGGUAAAAGAGUGAAUGGUUAUAAAAUUAUACAAUAAAUUGGUACAUUGUAUAUUCAAAUAACAACUUACGUGUUUCAUGCAUUUACAUUGGAUGCACUCAUAUAUCCAUUAAGUACAUGAUAAUAGGUUGUUUUCUAAUUUUAACAUUUUUUUUACUAAAAUUAGCAUAGUUCAUAUUGUAAGAAAAUGAUUAUGAGAUAUUAUGAUAUACUAGAAUUUAGUUUAUGAACACAUGACUAUCUUUAAGGAUGGUAUAUUCAGCUUAGUAAAUAUUGAUUAAAGUUAUAUUAUGGAUAUAUUUACUUAUUAUUUAAUAAAUAAAUAUUAAUCAAUAUUUUUUAUUGAUAGCAAUCAUAUAUUUAUAUUUUUCAUUUGUAACAUUAACAAUGACACUAAAUUUAUUAAAAUAUUAUUUCUCAUUUGUAUAUUUAGAUUUAAUUUUAAUAAAUCAUAGGUACGUAUAAUCUCUUUUAUUUAAUUUUUAAUAUUAAAUAUAAAUAUAUAUAUAUAUAAAUAAUAAAAUAAAAAAUAUGAAUGCAUAUAUAUUAGAGUAUCUGUGUGUUUCCGUAGUAAUUAAUAAUAAAAAAUUAUAAAACUAAAAAAAUUAAAGUUAUGACAAAUUAUAUAUUUAUAAAAAAUAAUGUAAAGUUAAUGGAAAUUCAUAUGUUGUGAAGUGCGGUCACUCGGAUAUGUGAUUUGUAUGAACAAAAAACACUAAACGACAUGAAAAAAAAAUCUUACAUAAAUAUUUUGGUUUGUAUGAAAAAAAAAAAUCCAAUUUUGCAUUCAUUUUAUUCGAUAAUAAUCUUACAUAAAUAUUUUAUCUUUCACUACAAGACAAUCAUGAAAUAAAAACUAAUUUUUAGAUACCAAAAUAAUUAGUUGUAAUAAUAACUAAAUUAGAGACCAUUUUAAAAAUUAAAUAAAAAAUUAGUUUAUAAAUUAGUUUUUAUUAUUGUUAAAUAGUUUCUAAAUUGGUAUCUAAUUACUAACCAAGGUUUUAGAGACCAAAUUUAGAAACUAAAUAAUUGGUAGUUAAAACCUUGGUUGUUAAUUAGAUACCAAUUUAGAAAUUAUUUAACAAUAAUAGAAACUAAUUUAGAAACCCAAUUUUUUUAUUUAGUUUCUAAAAUGGUUUCUAAUUUAGUUAAUAUUGCAAGUAAUUAUUUUUGUUUCUAAAAAUUUGUUUCUAUUUCAUGAUUUUCUUGUAGUGUUUUAACAUAAACAAUCCUACAUAGUUAUAUUAAAAUCCUUUUUUUUCAAUAUUUCUUUCAUUAAAUAAAUACAUAAGACAAUUUAAACCGUAAAUUUUAAAGUCAGUAGCUAAAAUUUUGUUACCUAAUUAAAUACCAAUUUAAAAAUUAUUUAUCAAUAAUAAAAAAUAAUUUAUAUAUUAAUUUUUUAAUAUUUAAAAUAAUAUUUAAUUUAUUCAAUAUAUCAACUAAUUAUUUUUAAUUUUUAAAAUUAAUUUUUAUUUAAUAAUUUUCUCAUAGUGACCCUUUUUAUAAAAUUUCUAAAUUUCUAGAAAUUUAACUAACCGAAGAAGUUGAUUGAAUAAAAAAGAAAAUAGUGUAAAUAACUAACAUCAUUACGAGAAAAUACAGAUUUAGUGUCAAUUAAAAGUCAACUCAACUAAGUAGAAAUAGACAUUAAUUAGUCAAUAACAUUAGAUAUAGGUAUCUAUGUAAUUUAUUAGUGUAUCUAUGUAGUAUAAGUUAAUACUCACUAAUACAAAACAAUGUUUUAAUGACGAUUAAAAGGAUUUUUAUCUAAUAACUGUUAUUAUUUUAGAUAUUAUUUUAGAUGUCGUUAUAAAUUAGUUAUUUAUAAUGACGAUUUUAGAACCGUUCUUAUAAAACUUCAUUAAUUACACGUAUAAAAAAUAUCAUUAUUUUGUUAAAUAAAAGAAAAAAUAUAUUUAUAACAACAAUUUUAAUAAUUUUUUAGUUUAUAAAAUUAUUUUUAAUUUAAUUAAAUAAUAACUAAUUAUUUUAAUUUAUAAAAUUAAUUUUUAUUUAAUUAUUUUAUUACUGUGUUAUUUACUCACUAUUAAAAAUAUUGUUUUAAUAACUACACAGUAGAAAAGUUAAACUAUAAUUAUAAGGUGAUACAAUAGAAUUUUAAAAUGGAUCAAUCUCUUCAAAUAGAUUUACAUCUCAGAAAUAUCACUCUUUUAGCUGCAUUAUUGUAUUAAUAGGUAUUUUACUCCAAAUUGUUAUCACUUGGCUUUUAAUUUAGCGCAUAAAUAAUCAGUGGGAUGUCAUAAAAUGCCAAGAUUAAAAUAAUAUUUUUAUUUUAAAAAGAAUGAAAAUAAGUGAAUUAUGUUUCACAGAAAUAUAAUAUUUUAUUUGAAAAGAACAAAACAAAAUUAAAAUUAAAAUUAAAACACACUUAUUUUAUAUGUGAUGAUAACAUAUUUAACCUUAUUAUCAAAACAACUUUUCGUUUCGUGUACGAAUAUAGCAACCAUCAUUGAGUAUAUGGAAUCACAUACAGCACAAGUUUUAUUUGUGUUACUUCAGCUAGUUUUUUUUUUUUUUAUUGGUGUUUCGUCUAUUUGAUUUGUCUGUAUUUGCUUUAGUGGAAUGUUGGAUGAAGUUUCUGUCAGAUUUUGUUUUGUCAUGUUAUGUCAGUAGCUGCUUUGUUUUUUAGAUGUUUGAAAGAUGUUAUGCGGUUAGACUCGUACCCUUUUGUAUAAUGAUUGAAUCACUAUUGGAGUGGUUCUUGGGUAUAUAUAUUAUUGAUUGCUGAUAAAAAAAAGUCACGAAAAUUUUAAUUUGAUUUAAAAAAUAUUUUAAUGAUGUUUAAAUAUAACUUUUUUCUAUAUAUAUUAUGGAAUUUUAUAUUUAGUUCACACAAUUUAAAAAAAAAUAUAUAUAGUUAAAUAUAAUUAUUAUUUUUAUAUAUAAGACAUAUAAUUUUUUUGUGUUAUUACUCUAUUCAAAUCUUAUUUUUCAAUAUUUCUUACAUUAAAUUAAAUAAACAGAAAAGACAAUUUAAAAUAUAUCUUUUUCAAUGAUGGUAAUAUUUCAUAAUAAGUUAAAUUAUAUAUAUAUAUAUAAUUUUUUUUAAAAAAACGAAAAUGACUAUGUGAAUGUUUUCGUCCGUGUAUAUAUAUAUAUAAUUAUUGUAUAUUAGUAAUUAUUAUGGUAGGAAUGGAGAAAGUUGAUGUGAUGACAAAAGAGUAUACGACAAGGAUUUUAAGUAUUUUUGUUUUAGGUUACCUCUAACCCCACCCUUUAACCUUAUCUAGAAGUAAGACGAAUGACACAUUUUUCACGUGCUUUACUUUAAGCUAGAAAUAAGUGUAUUAAUGGUAGUUUCCAAUAACAAUAGCAAAGAAGUUCCCACUCCAUGAUAGUAUAAAUAGGUGUCUCUCAUAGGAAUCUAACCAUCCUCAAAUCAAAUCAUAUCCCUUUGUAAAGUUUGUUAAGAAAAUGUCAAUCCCUCCACCAAAUGAUCCAUCUAGAGGCUGCUCCUCAGAGUUCUCACAGCCUCUACAGCUACAAGAUUUGGUUGACGCUCAAGAAUUAUUGGAAAAUGUGAACCGUGUGAACGUUGUUGAAGGAAACUUGACAAGAAUUGAGUACAGGAUAGGUGAUCAAGAAUUAGAUAUUCGCCGCCCUGUGUAUCGUUGGGACAGAAGGCCCUACCAUGACAUCUUUGUAAAUGGCUUUCAAGCAUGGCCUCAGGAACAAACUCCCAACUCCACUUACUAUAAUUUACAUCACUUCAUUAAUCAUGCAGGUGCCCCUCUUGAUCCAGAUCGGCCUUUAAAUACAAGACAUGUCUUUGUGAGUACCACUCUCAGUAAUAGUUGGCAACCAAGACCUUCAACUGCAGUCCUCCCACCCGGCUCUCAUAUUCAAUUUUAUCGUUAUGAAAUUUAUGCUCCUGGUGGUAUUUGGGUUGCUGUCACUCUUGGGCAUCAAUACGACCAAUAUGCUUCUCAAGCUGAAGUUUGCUUUGUUGGAGGUAUUGCACCUCAGUACAUUCGAUCUUGUCUCAUAUUCACAGUAACGCGUGAAGCCGGAUCAAGGUUGGAUUACAUCUCAUGCUAUAUUAUUUUUAUAAUCACCUUAUAUCAUCGAUCACUAGCUAUAAGUUAUUAUAUUGUGCAGGUAUCCGAGAUUUCAGAGAGAAAGAAGAUUGGUGAUAAACAGGAAUUUUAAUCCAGUGUCAUCUCCUUACGCUGAAGUUGUAGUUUAUAUGCCGGUGUACUACUACAGAGAUGAAAACGGUGUAAACAGAUACCUACCUGAAGAAACUUAUCCGCCUAGGAGAGAGAAAAGAGAAGCUUUGGAUGCUAACGAGGAUGCUGCUCUUAAGUGGUAUACUAGUUCAGUUUUAGAGAUACCAAGUUAUAUAAAUUCUGCAUUGCGUUCAUCCAGAACAAAUGAAGUUUAUUUCUUCUUAAAAAAUAAGUAUGUGCGGCUGUAUUACACUCCUGGACUGACAAAUGAUAAGAUUUUGGCUGAUUUGCGUUGGAUUGGUGAUGGCUUUCCAUCACUUAUUGAUACGCCAUUUGGAGAAUAUGGAAUAGACUGUGCCUUCGACACUGAAGGCAACGAAGCAUAUAUCUUCUCUACCAAACUUUGUGCCUACAUGGACUAUGCUCCAGGUACACUGAAUGACAAGAUACUCUCAGGUCCUACCACAAUUGCUGAAAUGUUUCCCGUCCUAAAAAACACAGUGUUUGAGAAUGGCAUAGACUCUGCAUUCAGGUCAACCAAAGGAAAAGAUGUUUACUUAUUCAAGGGCAAUAAGUAUGGUAUCAUAGAGUAUGAUUCCAAGCAGCUUGUUGGCACCAUUAGUAACAUCACUGAUGGGUUUCCUGUUCUGAAAGGUACCAUCUUUGAAAAUGGAAUUGAUACGUGUUUCGCUUCUCAUAAAGAGAAUCAAGCUUAUCUUUUCAAGGGAGAAAACUAUAUACGGAUCAAUUUCACCCCAGGUACUACAGAUGACACUCUUGUGGAUGUUGUGAAGCCCAUCCUUAAUGGUUGGCCAAUUCUUAGAGACAUUCUGCCUCUCGACAAUAAAGGAGUUGAUGCCAAUUCUCAGACUGAUCAUCAACAACAAUAUCCUCAACAACAUGAUGACCAUGAUGAGCUUUAAAGAAAAAAGAACAAGAUGUCAUAAUAUGAUAAGAAUAAGGCUUUCAUUGCCAAAGUUUGUUUCCUUUUCUUUCCUAAUGUAAUGUAAUAAGUGUGAUGCUAGUGUUUACUUGUAUUUGGAUAUUUGCUUUCCUUUCUUCAUGUAAUAUUAAUGGUUUAAUAAUAAAAGUGUGCUUUUUGGUUGAAUAAAUGAUUCUAAUUUUUUUUCCUUUAAAAAAUUUACGGAGAUGUUUAUAGGUUGAUUUGAUUCCAGUGUAUUUUUUAAAGGCUAUGAUACGUAAAUCCAAGUAAAAAUGAUAUAAAGAAGAAAAGAAAAAUAAAUCCAAGAAAAUCAUUGAAGACUAUGUGAAUUCCACGAAGGACUAAUAAUAAAAAAAAUGUGGAUAUACGUGUUUCACUAAUACAAAAUAAAGACGACAACUUUAACCAUUGUCUAAAUUAAGAAAAAAAAAUAACGACAAUCUAACGGAUUGAAAAUCAUCACACUGAAAUUCUAAAAUUAGUUAUCUAAAAAUCUUUGUCUCAAUGCAAUCAUACAUUUUUUUUUUCAUGGCAAAGAAAAUAAAUAUUAAAUUAAUUACUAUGAUAUUAUGUAGAACUAUUAUCGAAUAAAACGCAUGCAAAAUUGGGUUAUUUCACUUUUUUUUAUACAAACAUUCUACUUCACAUAUUUUUUCAAUCGUUUGGUGUUCUUGUUCAUACAAACCAUAUCCCAGAGACCACACGUCAAAACAAUUAAACCAUAUCCCAAAGACCACACAAAAACAUAUGAAUUUCUAUUAACAUUAAUUUUGAUAACUAUGAUGUUGAUACAAACCGUAUCAAGGUGACAACUGUACCAAAACUAAUUGCAGGUCCCAAACAAACACAACACGUGAAAAAAUACCAGCAACGGUGUGGAUUCUUUAACACAUAUAUAAAAACUGUAAUAAAUUUCUUAAGAAUACAUCGUUACGAUAAAAUUAUGUUUUCAACUUUUUAUUUAAUUUUUUUAAAAUCAAUUUUAUACUUUCUAUUUCAAUUUUUUUAUUAAUAUAAAGUAUACACACACAAAAAUAAUAAAUAUCAUUAUAAAAUAAAUUAAAAAAAUAAAUCACUUUCGUGUUUAUCAAAAACAACUUCUCACUUCUCUCUCACCUUAUAAGUUACAAUAUUAACGUAUCUCAAGUCUGACUCUCUUCUCUUAUUUUCUUUUCUAAAGGAGACACAACAUUCCAUUUUCACUUUUUUUUCUCUUUCUCUUUACUUCUCUCUUUUUUUUAUGGUACUCUCAUUCUCAAUUUUUUUCAAUUUUUUCUGAUUUUGUUCCAAUUGUUCCAUCUUCUUUACAUGUGUUUCUGUAUAUAGUUUUGUAUUGGUUUACAAGCACGUGAAGUUUGGUCCCUUGGUUGAAUUAAAACGAGUGACUCUUUGUCCAACAUGUUCUCUUCUCCAAUUUCUCUUUGUCCAAGUAUUUUUGUUUUAGGUUACCUCUAACCCCACCCUUUAACCUUAUCUAGAAGUAAGACGAAGGACACAUUUUUCACUUGCUUUACUUUAAGCUAGAAAUAAGUGUAUUAAUGGUAGUUUCCAAUAACAAUAGCAAAGAAGUUCCACUCCAUGAUAGUAUAAAUAGGUGUCUCUCAUAGGAAUCUAACCAUCCUCAAAUCAAAUCAUAUCCCUUUGUAAAGUUUGUUAAGAAAAUGUCAAUCUCUCCACCAAAUGAUCCAUCCAGAGGUUGCUCAUCAGAAUUCUCACAGCCUCUACAGCUACAAGAUUUGGUUGACGCUCAAGAAUUAUUGGAAAAUGUGAACCGUGUGAACGUUGUUGAAGGAAACUUGAGAGGAAUUGAGUACAGGAUAGGUGAUCAAGAAUUAGAUAUUCGUCGCCCUGUGUUUCGUUGGGACACAAGGCCCUAUCAGGACCUCUUUGUAAAUGGCUUCCAAGCAUGGCCUGAGGGACAAACUCCCAACUCCACUUACUAUAAUUUGCUUCACUUCAUUGAACAUGCAGGUGCCCCUCUUGAUCCAAACCCGUCUUCAACUACAAGACAUGUCUUUGUGAGUACCACUCUCAACAAUGCUUGGCAACCAAGACCUUCAACUGCAGUCCUCCCACCCGGCUCUCGUAUUCAAUUUUAUCGUUAUGAAAUUUAUGCUCCUGGUGGUAUUUGGGUUGCUGUCACCCUUGGAGAUCGAUACCAAUAUGUUUCUCAAGCUGAAGUUUGCUUUGUUGGAGGUAUUGCACCUCAGUACAUUCGAGCUUGUCUCAUAUUCACAGCAACACGUGAAGUCGGAUCAAGGUUGGAUUACAUCUCAUGUUAUAUUAUUUUUAUAAUCAUCUUAUAUCAUCCAUCACUAACUACAAGCUAUUAUAUUGUGCAGAUUUCCGAGAUUACAGAGAGAAAUAAGAUUGGUGAUAAACAGGAAUUUUAAUCCAAUGUCAUCUCCUUACGCUGAAGUUGUAGUUUAUAUUCCGGUGUACUGGUACACAGAUGAAAACGGUAAAAACAGAUACCUACCCGAAGAAAUUUAUCCGCCUAUGAGAAAGAAAAGAGAGACCUUGGAUGCUGAUGAGGAUGCUGCUCUUAAGUGGUAUACUAGUUCAGUUUUAGAGAUACCAAGUUAUAUAAAUUCUGCAUUGCGUUCAUCAAGAACAAAUGAAGUUUAUUUCUUCUUAAAAAAUAAGUAUGUGCGGGUGUAUUACACUCCUGGAGAGACAGGUGAUAAGAUUUUGACUGAUUUGCGUUGGAUUUAUGAUGGCUUUCCAUCACUUGUUGAUACGCCAUUUGGAGAAUAUGGAAUAGACUGUGCUUUCGACACUGAAGGCAACGAAGCAUACAUCUUCUGUACCAAACUUUGUGCCUACAUGGACUAUGCUCCAGGUACAACAAAUGACAAGAUUCUCUCAGGUCCUACCACAAUAACUGAAAUGUUUCCCGUCCUAAAAAACACAGUGUUUGAGAAUGGCAUAGACUCUGCAUUCAGGUCAACCCAAGGAAAAGAAGUUUACUUAUUCAAGGGCAAUAAGUAUGGUCGCAUAAAGUAUGAUUCCAAGCAGCUUGUUGGCACCAUUCGUAACAUCACUGAUGGAUUUCCUGUUUUGAAAGGUACCAUCUUUGAAAAUGGAAUUGAUGCGUGUUUCGCUUCUCACAAGGAGAAUCAAGCUUAUCUUUUCAAGGGAGAAAACUAUGUACGAAUCAUCUUCACCCCAGGUACUGCAGAUGACACUCUUGUGGGUAAUGUGAGGCCUAUCUUUGAUGGUUGGCCGCUUCUUAAAGGCAUUCUACCUCUCGACAAUAGAGGAGUUGAUGCUCAUCCUCAGUCUGGUCAGGAAAAACCAUAUCCCGAUCAGCAUGAUGAGCUUUGAAAAAAAAAAGAACAAGAUGCCAUAAUAUGAUAAGAAUAAGGCUUUCAUUGCCAAAGUUUGCUUCCUUUUCUUUCCUAAUGUAAUAAGUAUGGAUGCUUGUGUUUACUUUCUUGUAUGUGGAUAUAUGCUUUCCUUUCUUCUUGUAAUGCUAAUGGUUUAAUAAUAAAAGUGUGCUUUUUGGUUGAAUAAAUGAUUCUAAAUUUUUUCCUUUAAAAAAAUUACGGAGAUGUUUAUAGGUUCAUUUGAUUCCAGUGUAUGUUUUAAAGGCUAUGAUACGUAAACCCAAGUAAAAUGAUGUGAAGAAGAAAAAAAAAAAAUCUAAGAAAAUCAUUGAGGACUAUGUGAAUUCCAUAAAGUAUAAUCUAUUUUUUUUAUUAACAAUAAAUAAAUAUAUUAAAAAAUAUUUUAGAAGUAUCAUAACCCUUAUAAAAAUAUCAACAACCUCAUCAUCUUGUUUACGAAUUUGAAAAAACAUUACAAAUAUCAAUAAUAAAGUAAACAAAACCAAUACAUAUUCUUUUUUAGUCAUGACAAAGAAAAUAAAUAUUAAAUUAAUUAUUAAGAUAUUUAUGUAGGACUAUUAUCGAAUAAAAGGGAUGCAAAAUUGGGUUAUUCCAUUUUUUUAUAUACAAACAUUCUACUUCACAUAUUUUUUCAAUCGUUUAGUGUUCUUGUUCACACAAACAAUAUCCUAAGGACCACACAUCACAACAUAUGAAUUUCCAUUAACUUAACAUUAAUUUUGAUAAAUAUAUGAUGUUCAUACAAACCAUAUCAAUGUAACAACUGUACCAAAAUUGAUUGCAGGUCCCAAACAAAUACAACACGUGAAAAAAUACCACUAGCAGUGUGGAUUCUUUAGCAGAUAUAUACGUAUAUAUAUACACUGCAAUAAUUUUCUUAAAAAUACAUCGUUAAGAUAAAAUUCUGUUUUCAAUUUUUUAUUAAUAUAAAGUAUACACACAAAAUAAAAUAAUAAAUACCAUUAUAAAAUAAAUAAAUAAAUAUUGAAAGAUAAAAGUUAGAAAUGUCUGAAUUCGAAAAUGAAAAGAAAUAGAAAACAGAAAACGUAUUGAAUUUGAUAGCUUAUCCGAGGACCACACGUUACAUGAUUAUCUUUUUGUAAUUUCUAUAAUUUCAUUUUAUCUUUUUAACGUAUUUCACAAUUUGUUUAAUAAUUAUAAUAAAUAAUUAUAAAAUUGAAAGAAUUAAUGUUAUGGCAACAUCAUAUAUUUAUCAAAAUUAAUGUUUAAGUUAAUGGAAAUUCAUAUGCUGUGAUGUGUUGUAACGACUUUAUAAUAUGUGAAGUAGAAUGUUUGGGACCAGUCCUCUAUCUGGUUUGUAUGAAAAAAGAGAGUAAAAUAACCCAAUUUUGCAUGCAUUUUAUUCGAUCAUAAUCCUACUUAAAUAUCUUAUCUUUCAUCAUAAAUAAUCCUACAUAAUUAUAUUCAACUCUUAUUUUUCAAUAUUUCUUACAUUAAGUAAGACAAUUUAAACUAUAAAUUCUAGAGUUGAUAAUUAAACUUUUGAUAAUUAAUUAUAUAUCAAUUUUAAAAUAUUUACCAAACAAAUUGAAUUGUAUAUCUUGUCCUAUAUAAAAUUUAGAGGUUUCUCAAUUGUAUUUUUCCUUUAAUUGUAGUUUGGACACUAUAUCAGCUGCUUAUUAACACUAGCUCCAACUUUUGAUCACCAAAUCCGAAUCAUAACGCGGAGCUGAGUGUCAUGGAAUACGAAUUGCAAUAAAGAACUACCACCAUGUUGGAAAUCUCACAUCGACUAGAGAUAAAGACAUUUCAUAAUAUAUAAAUGGGUGCAAAUCUCACUCCUUCAUUGAGCCGGUUUUAUGAGGUUGAGUUAGGCUUAAAACCCACUUCUUAACAUGGUAUCAGAGCCAUUUCGAACCUAUCCUAUCCUAACGAGUAUUUGUUGGGUUUAUCUGUCCACCCGCUAUCGGGCCGUUACCAGACCACCCAUAACAUAUAUCUCCACGCACGAGUUGGUAGCCUCGGCGUGAGGGGUGGGUUGGAAAUCCCAUAUCGACUAGAUAUAAAGACAUUUCAUAAUAUAUAAAUGGAUGCAAACCUCACUUCCAUGAGCCGGUUUUAUGGAGUUGAGUUAGGCUUAAAGCCCACUUCUUAACACACCAAACCAGAAUAGUUGCACCAUAAACUGACAUUGACUGACAACACCCCUUUGCACCAUCCAGAACAGCAUAGGAUACUUGAAAGGAGCACUAAACCAGACCAUAAACAACACCCCUUUACACAUACCUUCUUUUUAUGCAUAAAAUGGGAUUCAAAUGCCAUUCCGAAUAAGAAAAAGUGAAAGAAACCUUUAUUUCAACCAUAACGAGGAUCUCAGCUGUGCCAUUUGGAAUAUUUCUUCUGCAUCAGAUACUUCUUAGCCACCCAUACACCUUUCCACACUAUAUUCUCUGCUUAGUGCUCAAGUGAAUAAGGCAGAUACUAUGAGUGGAAAUUUCAAGUUUGUUCAUGUUGUGGUAAAUCAAUUGCUAGAAUAUAAUUAUUUCUUUUAAUUUUUUUGUUGCUUGAAUAACUUAAGCCUCAUUUCUUUUCUUCUCAGGAAUCUGAAAUUAAAGAAAUAGAAGAGAAGCAGGUAUAGUCAAUUUGAUUUAGGUCACUACUGCAUAAUUUGAUUUUUUGUGUUAUUAUGCUUUAUCUGUGAUUUACUAGCAGAUAUAUGUGUGUAUAUAUAGAAACUGCAAUAAAUUUCUUAGAAAUACAAGUUAAGAUAAAAUUAUGUUUUCAACUUUCUCUGUUUUUAAUAGUUAUUAAAUUUAGUAUUAGCGUAAUCAAUGCUAAACUUAACUUUUUUUAAUAUUUGUAUUUAAUUUAAAUCAGUAUCGGUUAACGUUAAUAUUAUUUAUUGUUAAUAUUUAUUUAAAUUAACAUAAUCUAACUGAAGUUACUCUAACAUUUUAAUAUUUAUAUAAAAAUUUGAAUCGACUGAUACGAUGUGUGAUUUUAUGCAGGUUUUGUACUGUUGUCUUGUGAGUAUCGUUUCUGUGCUGGUAUGGUUGAGAAGGGAUUGCUUCUUUUUGCAGGUUCUACAAGUGGAGAAAGUAAGAGAGAAAUAAUGAGGCAAGAAAGCAAAGCACAUCAAUGAACAAGAUUGGAACAUAUGAAUCAAUGAUGACAAGAAGUGCUUAGCAGAUUAGUUUAAAAUACACACAUAUCUGUUAAACCAAACCACACAACCACACACUUUUUAUUUAUAAUAUGAAAAUAGGAAAGACAAACAUGCAGAGUUGCUACAUUAGGAAAAGGAAAGAGGCUUUCAAUCCUAAUGUUACAUUAAAGAGACAGAAACAAACGUUUGCAAUGACAGCCUUAUUUCUAGCAUAUUAUCAGAUCAUGCUUUUUGAUGGAGAGUGAAGCCUUCUUUAGCUGAUAGGCAAAAUGCCUCUAAGACAUGUCCAACCAUCAAGGAUAGGCCUCACUUCACCCACAAUACGGUCACCACUUGUACCUGGAGUGAAUUUGAUACGAACAUAUUUCUCUCCUUUGAAAAGGUAAGCUUCAGACUCCUUAUGGGAACAAAAACACGCAUCAAUUCCACUUUCAAAGAUCGUACCUCUCAGAAUAGUAAACCCAUCAGCGAUGUUACGAAUGCUGCCAAUAAGCUGCUUGGAAUCAUAGUCUAUGCGAGUAUACUUAUUGCCCUUGAAUAAGUAAACCUCUUUCCCUUUGGUUGAUCUGAAUGCAGAGUCUAUGCCAUUCUCAAACACUGUGUUUGAGGACGGGAAACAUUUGAGCAAUUGUGGUAGGACCUGAGAGAAUCUUGUCAUUUGUUGUGCCUGGAGCAUAGUCUAUGUAGACACAGUAUUUGGUUGAGAACACAUAUGCUUUACUCUCUUCGGUGUCAAAGGAACAGUCUAUUCCAGGUUCUGCAAAGAACGAUGCAGUAAGUGAUGGAAAACCACUACUAAUCAAACGCAGAUUAGUCAAAAUCUUAUCAUCUGAUUUUCCUGGAGUGUAAUACAGCCGCACAUACUUAUCCUUCAUGAAGAAAUAGACUUCAUAUUCUCUUGAUGAACGAAAUGCAGCAUUGAUGUAAGCCAUCUUUCUUAACACAAGAGAGAGAUAUAUGAUUUGAUUUGAGGAUGCUUACAUUCCUCCCAGAGGCACCUAUUUAUACUGUUAUGGAGUUGGAACUUCUUUACUAUUGGUAAUGGAAAGGAAAUCAUAAAGAUUCUAUGACAACAUAAAAAAAUAUAAAAAAAAGAAUUCGCAUUAUUGGUGCAGCAUGUCCUCUCUGUUUUUUUAUUCUCUUAUUUAUGCAUGUGCUGUUUGCCAUUAAACAUAAACAAAUGUUACUAUCAUAGAAUAUUUACACUGUUACCUCAGUUUCAAUACAUAGAUUACUGUGUUAUUUAAACCAUGUGCUGUUUGUAUAAACUCGAUAAGUUUAGCACUAUCAUAGGAUAUUUUGAUUUGCAAUAUAUAAAUAUAUAUGUUAAUUUAAAAGAUGAGUGUUUAACAGACAAUUUAAAAUUACUUUAAAUGGUUAUAAAAUUAUAAAAGAGACUGGUAUACGUAAACUCAAUAAACAAUUCAAUUAUGUGUUCCAUUCCAUAUGAUAUCUUAAUUAAUUAAUGAUGUGUAAUCAAUUAUAUUCAUGAGAAUAAUAUUCUAAUAUGUGUUUUUAGGAGGCAAUAGUACAUAUUUUCACGUGGAUCAGAUAAUUUUGUUUAAUUGGUCGUGGAUCUCAAAACCUGAGCAAAGAACACAAACCACAAGGUGGCCUAUUACUUUAAAAUUAUUUGUAUGAAUAAUACUUCAUAAUUGACACGAGUAUUAAACAAAAUUAUUAAAUAAAAAACAAUUUUAAAGAUUAAAAUAAUUAAUUAAUUGAUUAAAUUAGAAACUAUUUUAUAAAUUAAAAACGUUAAUAUUUAAAAUAAUUUUUAUUAUCAAUAAAAAAAUAUAAUUUAAAAAAAAAAACUGAUAUCUAAUUAUUAAUUAUUAAAAUUUUAACAUAUUUUAAAUUAAUUAUUUUUAGUGUUUUAAAAAUUAAUUUAUAAUUUAAAUUAUUUCUUAGUAAAUAAAAUCUUCAUAACUAAUUUAAAUACUAGUUUAUAAAAUUUUAUUAAUAAAAAACACUUUAUAUAUUAAUAACUUUUUAUUUCUAAAAUAAUAUAUAAUUUAAAGUUAAUACAAUUUUUAUAUUUAAAUUUAAAUAUUAUUUAAUAAUCUUUUAGUGUGAUAUGCAGGCAUAAGUCCAUUUUAUAUAUAUUUUUAUCCUAUAUUAUAUUUGCAUAACAUAAAUGUCAUCAAAGUAUAACAUUUAUGAUACUAAUUAAUACUCUCGUAGUUAUAAACAGCCUCGUAAAAAAGAGAAAGAACAAAAUUCUCUGUUUAAAAACAAAUAUAAUAGUUACAAAUGAUAUUGUUUAAUUGUUUCCUAUAUCUAAGAACAUAGUUUUUUUUCCAAUUUUAGUAAUUAUUUUACUAAAAUUAUCAUAGUAAAAAAUAUCAAUUAGAAUUAGCUUCUAAAUAAUAGCAUAAAAAAUGUAACAUUAUUAAAACCCACUAAGUAAACUUUAACAUGAUCUAAAAGAUUAACUUUUUUUGUGUAAAAAUGUAAAAUUAUUUUUAAAUAUAUUGUUUUGUGUUAAAAAUGUAAAAUUAUUUUUAAAUAUAAUUUUAUAUUAUGUAAAGUGUGUGUAUUGGUUAAGUUGAUGCUUAAUAUGAUAAUAUAGUCAACCUAACUAAUUAUGAGUUGAGGUUAAUUUUUUAAAAUUUGUAAAAAUAUUUUUGUUAAUGUCAAAUUAGUAAUAAAUUAAUUAACAUUCACUCAAAUAAAUAUUAAAAACAAAUUAAUAUUAAAAAUGUAUUUAAUUUAAUAUCGGUUAAAUUAACAUUAAAUUAAAUAACUUUUAUAAAGUAAAAAACAGAUGGACGUCAAUUUAGCUAACAUUAAACUAUUUUAAUUAAAAAUUAAUUUAAAAAUGAAUGUUAGAGUUUACUUAACUAGCACUAAUUAGAAUUGUAAAACUUGACACUAAUGAACUAGUAUUCAUAGUUUUAGAGCCUGUUACAUAUAUAAUAUAAAUUUAUCACUAUUAAUUAAUUAAUCCUAAUUUUUACUUGUUAGAAUCGAUUUUUAGUGAAGUUAAAUUUAUAUUUUCUUAUAGUGAUUUGAGUUAUAUAUAAAAAAAAUGAAAUCAACUUCUUCAAUUAGAUAUAUUUUGGGGUUUGAAUUUUAACAAACAUUAUAUUUUCUAAUUUGGUAUAAAGUGUGUUUAGUUUAGGAUGUAUCUUGAAAUUUUUGUAGGUGAAUUUAUGAUAUAAUAAUUAUGAACUUUUAAUUUUAUUUUUAAUCUAACAAUAAAUCUCAUGGCUUCUUUAUUCAGGAUUGCAAGUUAUAUUACAAAGAGUACUUUAUUUUUCAAGAUUGUAAGUUAUGUCACAAAGUAAUAAAUACAUGCUUAUGUAGACUAGCCUUAAGGAAAUGGAAAGUUAGGUCUCAUUCCUUCCAAACAAGACUCAUACAAGAAUACGAAAUGGUUAAAUCUGGUUUAGGAUUUAGGGUUUAGGAUUUAGAGAAAUGGUUAAGUCUGGUUUGAUUAGUACUCAUGAUUUUCCAAUAAAGAUCCUAGUUAGUGCAAACUAAUCUAAGUAUCCAAACUACAUAUGUUCAAUUUCUAUAUUUUUUUUUUAAAUCCAUCAAAAUUCAAUCCAGAUGUAAUAAAAUAGAUUGAAUCUAAAAUCCAUAUUAUUUUUGGUAGAGUAAAUUUAUUUGGAUUUUUCAAAUCCAUUUAAAACACACUAAAUUUAGAUCUACUUUGUCAAUUAGAUUAAAUUUUUUAUGAGAUCGACCUGGCGUGGUCAACUCAAUCCAACCUUGGUAGACUUGACUCGACCUACCUUAGGUCGACUCAGCUUGACAUAACCUAACCCAACUCAAUUCGACCUGGCCCCAUAUCGACUUGGCUUAGCCUGGUCCAAGCUGAUUAAGCUCGAAUCGGGCCCAAGCCGACUCGGAUCGACCUAGAUCUGACUUGACUUGGCUCGAGUUGGGCCAAACGUGUUGACCUGAACUCAGGCCGACUCGACUCGACCUUGAAUCGCACCGACUUGGCUUUUCCUAAACCUGGGCCAACUCAGCUCGACCUGGAUCUGGGUUGACUUGGCUCAACUUGGCCUCGGGUCGACUUGGCACGACAUGGAACAUGUUCGACUAGCCUCGAACUAGGCCUAUGCCCAGGCUGACUUGGAACUAGGUUGAUUUAGCUAGACUUGGGCUUGGGCAGACUCAACUCGACAUGGGACCAUACAAACUUGACUCGACCUGGGCCUGAACCGACUUGGCUCAAACCUGGAUUUGGGCAAACUCGGCUCGUCAUGGGGCCUAAGCCGACUCAUCUUGAAAUGGGUUCAAGUUGACUCGACUUGACCUGGUACCAAGACAACUUGGCUCGACUUGAUCCCAGAAUGACUCUGCUCUACAUAAGCCCAUGCUGACUCAACUCGACAUGGGGUCAUGUUGACUCAGCUCAACUUGGUACUAGGUCGAUUCAAGUUGACUUGGGCCUGAACCAACUCGGUUGAUAGAGGCUCGACUCGACUUGACUCAACAUGGGCCAAGACUAACUUGGCUCGACUUGGGCCUAAACAGACUCGGAUGGACAUGUGUUCGAAUCGACUCGACUCCACCAGGACCUAAGUUGACUCAACUGGACCUGGACCUGGACCUGGACCUGGGUCGAAUCAACUGCACUGGGUCAGAUAGGCUUUACCUCAACAUGCAUUGACUCUACUCCACAUGGGCAUGAACCCACCCAUCUCUAUCUGGGUCCAUGCCAUCUCAGCUCGACAUGGGUACGGGUUGACUCGACUCGAUUCAGGCUGGGGUUGAGACAGCUCGACUCGGGCCCGGAUCGACUCGGCUAGACCUGGUCCCGUGUCAUGUUGGCUCGACUUAGACUGGAUCGAUUUGACUCGAUCUAGACCAAAGUCGACUUGACUCUCAAAUCAACUUAGCUCGACUUGAGUCCUGGUUUACUACUCAACCUAGGUUCGAAAUGACUCAAAAUCCAUCACAAAAAUCAUUUUGGAUAAUUAAAAAUGUAUUCAAUGUAUAUCUAAUACAAAUCUAUUUAAAUGAAUUGAAUUUAAAUCCAAAAAAUAUAUUUGAAUUUAAAAUCUAAAAAAUAAUUUUGGAUUUAAAAUAAAUAUAUUUAAAUGGACCUAUAAAAAAUAUUUUUUUUGAAUAAUUAUGAAUUACAAUUUAAAUUUUUUACUCACCCUAAAUUAUAAAAAGUAUUUAAAAAUAUGUUUUUAAUUUCCUUUUCUAUUUUUUCUUGUAUAUUUUUCUAUGUAUCUUUUUAUAUAGCAUUAAAAUUGUAUUUUAAAUUAUUUUUCUAUUUAUUUUAGCCAUGUAAUAUCUGUCGUAGUGAGAUAGGUAGUGAAAAAAUGAUUUUAAAGAGAUAAGUACUUUAUAAAAGAACGGUUUUAAAGUGAGGUAAAAUAGUGAAUGGUUAUACAAUUAUACAACAAAUUGGUACAUUGAAUAUUAAAUAACAACUUAUGCGUUUUACAUUGGAUGCACUAAUAUAUUCACUAAGUACAAGAAAAUAGAUUUAGUUCAUAUGGUAAAAAAAGAUUAUGAGAUAUUAUGAUAUACUAGAAUUUAGUUUAUGAACACAUGACUAUCUCUAAUAUGGUAAAAAAAGAUUAUGAGAUAUUAUGAUAUACUAGAAUUUAGUUUAUGAACACAUGACUAUCUCUAAUAACCGAUGGCAUGGAUUAACGUUAUAUUAUAGAUAUUUUUACUUAUAUUUAAUAAAUAAAUAUUAAUCAAUAUCUUUUAAUAAAACUUAUCAAUAAUAUUGAUAAAUCUAAAAUUUAUUGUAAUAAUAGCAUAAAAAAACAUAAAUUCUAACUUAAAAAACAUGGUGAUAAAUCUAAAAUUUAUUGUAAUAAUAGCAUAAAAAAACAUAAAUUCUAACUUAAAAAACAUGGUGAUGGAUUAUUCAAGAAGUUUAUAAACGUCUCUUCCAAAAUUAAAUUAGUAGAUCUAGGAGUUUUGUAAUACACUAUAAAUAAGAUAAUUAAAUGAAAAUUCAAUGAAGGAAUCAUUUAAACAAUAUGAAAACAUACAUAUCAUUUUCUACUACCAUGUCAUGCAAAUGACAUGAACAUUUAACCAACAAUUGAAUUUAUUUAAUCAAAUAUUUAAACUUGGUUAACUGCUAUUUUUUUUUUUCACAUGCACAAAAUUGUUACUUCACGUAUGUAAUAGUUGGGUUAGUCAUAAUUAUUGAAAUUUCACAAAGCCUACCUAGGAUAAUGUUUGAAUGUGUUGCAUGAUUUAACCAGAAACACGUACUAGUUUAAUCAAAGUAUUUUAUUCUACACAAAAAUAAUAAAUAAAUUUCAUAAUCUCACUAUAACCAUGUCUACAAUAACAAGAAACAUAAAUAAAAAAGCUUUAAUCAAAGAUAAAUUAAAAAGUAAUCACUAUAACCAUGUCCACAAUUAAAAAUAUAAAGAAUUUCAACUUAUUUCUUUAUAAUUAAAAUUUAACUGUAUUUAAUUAAAAAAAUCCAAUUAAUCUCAUAAAAAUCUAAAAUUUAAAAUUUACUAAAAAAAUUCUGACCCUAAAAACCAAACAAGAUAUUUUUGGAUAGUUAUUUUAAAUUUUUAGAAAAAUAAAUUACCAACUUAAAAAUUUCUAUCAAAAAGAGACUAGUAAGGUUUGUUCAGUUAAAAACUUUUUGGGGUUUUGAAAAUAAGAAUAAAAUUUCAUUGGAACUUUAAUUAAUUAGUUAUGUUAAGAAUUUAAUUUAUAGCACCCUCGCAAAUUUGAUGAUUGUGAUAAUCUUCAGAGUUUAAUAUGAUGGUUCCAAAAAAGUUGAAAUCUAUUUUACUUAUUGUUAUAUACACUUGACAAUCAAUUUCAAGAUUUAAUAUGGUAAUUAGAAAAUUUUCAAGUUUAUUUUUUUAUAUUGAAGUUUCAUUACAAGUAUCCACAAUUAUGAAAACAACUCUUAAAGUCUAAUUUCUUAGUUAAGAAAAGCUGAAGUCUCUUUUUUACUUAUAUAUUACAUGAAAGAGAUUUUAAUUAAUCUUACAAUUAUAAUUAAUAUGCUGUAAAAUAUUUUCAAAAACUAUAAAGUUUACAUACAUACAUAACUUUCUUAAAAUUCAAAUAAAAUAUAAAUAUUUAAUUUAAAUAAAUUCUUGCACGAAUUUAAAUCUAGUAAAUUGUGAACAUAUAUUUUUACUAAUUCGAUUUUAAAAAUAUAGAUAAUAAUUAUAAAAUCUAGUAAAUUAUGGGCCUUAAAAUUUUAAAGAGUCUUACGGGCCUCCACCAGAACCCAUUUUUGUUUUUUUCUAAAUUACGACACAAAAGUUUGGGGUUUUGGCCCAUUCAUCACAGCCCAUGUUCCUUUCUUUAUAAUUGCAUAACAUUGGGGGUGCAGGAAUAGAAAACGUAGGGCUGCAGGAAGAAAUUAUCUCUUUAACCACACAAACGUAUGUGCUUUUGGCCCAUUUAUCACAGCACAUGUUCCUUUCUUUAUAAUUGCAAUUUCAACAAAACCCUAACUUCAAACCUUCACUCCUCCUUUCAUCACUUCGGCAGUCACAGAACCUCUUAGCCGAAAAUGGUGAGUUUCACCAACCCUUUUACAUUUUCUAUCUACCUUACGAUUUUUCUGCAUCUGGGUUUUCUGGUUUUAAUGAAAAAAUUGUUUCUUUGUUUUCUUUUCUGAUCUGUGUUGCAGCCUUUCAAGAGGUACGUUGAGAUUGGAAGGGUGGCUCAGGUCAACUACGGCAAAGAGUAUGGGAGGCUAGUAGUCAUUGUCGAUGUUAUUGACCAGAACAGAGUAUGUUCUUUUGUUUUGCCUUCUUUGAUUUGUUGCAUUUUCGUUGGAUUGGAUUUUUGUAGUGCGUGCCCUAUUCUUUGUCUUGGUUUCUUGUGAGGUUUGGGAGUAGAAAAAGCCUAAUUUAUGAUCUUGGUGUUGAUAAAUUUCUACAUGAAUUUCGUUGCCGCAUAAUUUGUUCUGAACAGUAGUUUUAGGUUUUAGAUUUUUUAUUUUGUUGAGGAUGUUGGUUUUGCUUAGUUUUAUGUUAAUUGAAUCUCAAGGUUUUCUCUAUUUGUGCAUUAGAACAAUUUGAUAAUGCCAAAUUCCAUUGAAGGGGUUAUAGUCGUUUACCAUGUUUGUUUGAUGAUGGUUUGUUUUAUUUUUUUCUCUUUUGUGAAGCCUAUAUUUUUUUCCUCAUUGUAUUUAAACAGGGUCAUAUCCCUUUAGGCUUUGUUGUAUAUUUGUAUUUUUUCAGCAUGAACUAAAUUUGGCUCUUUUUAUCGAUUUGGUUUGUGGGAAUAUAUAAUAUCAAGUUCGUAUUAAGAGGAGUUAGAACUGUCAAUCCCACUGAGAACUUCAAUGAGCGGAUUUUGUUUUUCCUAUUUGGCGAAGUCAUUGGCUUUUUUAGAUGCAUUUUAAUUGAAUCAUAUAUGCUUUGUUUGUAUACUUGUGUUUUUGCUCGGUCAACAAAAUGAAAAAUUAUGCUAUUUUUUUUGGGGGUUUUGUUAUUAACGUGGCAUGCAAUAGAAUCAAAUUGCAUUAAGAUUUAGAGGUGUGCAAUUUUUUUAAGUUGAAUGUGGUUUUGGUUAUUUGACUUUGAGAUCAUUUAGCAUAAUUUUCUACCACCAUUUGUUGAUAGGCUCUUGUGGAUGCUCCCGACAUGGUGAGGUCCCAAGUGAACUUCAAGAGGCUGUCACUCACUGACAUCAAGAUUGAUAUCAAGAGGAUUCCAAAGAAGAAGGAUCUCAUCCAAGCCAUGGAUGCUGCUGGUUGGUACACGUUUUUUAGAAUAAAUUGUUAUUUAAUUUGAAGCAUUCCUUUUGUUGAUGGGUGUUUUUCCUUGCUGAACAGAUGUUAAGAACAGGUGGGAGAAGAGUUCAUGGGGAAGGAAACUGAUUGUGCAGAAGAGAAGAGCAUCUCUCAAUGACUUUGACAGGUUCAAGAUUAUGUUGGCAAAGAUCAAGGUUGGUUUCAUUCUACAUGACUAUUCUCACUGUUUCAAUUUUGGUAUUGCUCUUCUAAUAGUUUGUGAAUUGGCUUUUAUGCAUAGCAAAAUCCAAGUGUCUGUACUAUUGUGUUGUCAUAUCAUUUUGGCUUUGAAGUUAAUUUACAAUUUUUGUUUCAAUUUGUGCAGAGGGCAUCAGUUGUUAGGCAAGAGCUUGCUAAGCUGAAAAAGAGUGCUUAGGCAUAAUUCCAUGUGCAAUUUCCUAAUUUUGUUAUGAAUUUCUUUCAAUUUAGUUUACUUUGGUUACAUGGGUUUUAUUAUGUAUCAUUGACAGAUUUUCUAGAAAUUUUUAUUGAGAUCCUUUAUGUUACUAGUGGAUUGAUGCCUGUUUUCGUAAUCUCAUUGUUAUAAUAUGGGGUGCCUAUUUUUGCACUGUUCGAUUAUUGGUUUUUGACAUUAUUAAAAAUACCUUUUGCUACAAUGCAAAUGUUAUCAGAAAUUGUUUUUUAUUUUUCUCAUUAGGAUUUGAUCAUUUUUUUCUUUUGUUUUUUGUUUUAAAUUUUAAUAUUUCUGUUCCUUGGUAAUUGGUUGUUCACGGUUGUGGUGUAAAUGAUUCAAAAUUAUGUUUUUUACCAAAAUUGUAUCAAUUUUUAUCAAAUAGAGUAGCAUUUGCAAAAGUUUAGAUUUGGUUUUGAUUUCAAAAUUGUUUCAAUGUUGUUUCUCCUUAAUUGAAAACUAGUGUGUGAAUUUUACUUUUUAAGAAUAGUCAUUUGUUAAAGGGGUGGACAAGAAAUUAAUUUUAAUCCUACAGAUUCUUAAAGGUGUGAGAAAGAAUAGAAAAUUUAAAAUUCAAUUUGGAGGUUGUAAAUGUUUUGGGACUUCAUUUACGUUUCUUAAAUGAAUUACUAUAUUUUUGAACAAUUAUCAAAUGAAACGUUUAUGAUGUUAUUUAUUACAUUUUAAAUCACAUUAUGUCAAAAUUUAAUAUUUAUAUAUUUAUAAAUUAAAAGAAAAUAUAUUUGUUAUAUGUUUUUUUCGAAUUUUAUUUAUUUAUUUAAUUUAAAAUUUUCUAUAUAUAGUAAAAAUUAGGAACCUUCUCAUCAUUUACUUUUUUUGAAUUGAAAAAUCCUAAUUGGAUUAUUCAUAUAUACAAAAAUAUUAACUGAGUACAAUUAUGUCUAUUAAAUAGGCAGAGCAUCGAGUACAAGUGUUAAAUAAGCUAUAAUUUAAUAUGGUCCAACAUAGAUAUAAUGAUUCGGCUUUUUAAUCCGAAAAAAAUAUGAUUAUAUGAUUUUUUAUUUUAUGAAAUAAUAAUAUCAAGUAAAGACUUAAUGAUUUUUCGGAUUGAUUUAUUUUAUAAGCUUAAUUUCAUUGUUUAAUUUAUUCUUUAACAAUAAUACAUUUUAAUACUAAUUGUCAAUUUAUAUGAUAAAUUAAUAAUUGUUUGAAAAAAGAAAGUAAUAAUUGUUAUUAAUGAAAAAUAUUAGUAAUAAAUUAAUGAUUUUAAAUUGUUAUUUUUUUAUCACUAGACGACUCAGCUAGAUAAUAUUAGUAAUAAACCUAUAUAAUAUUGUGUUAUUUUUUAAUACUCAACUACUCAUUUUUUUUUCCAGAAUAUAUUACAUCGAAUAAAAUUAUUAUUUAGAUAAAAAAAAAAUUAAUCAUUAUAUUUAAUUAAAUUGAAUAUUAUUUUAUAUAAAAAACUACUAUUUAAAGUUAAUUUUACUAUUAAUAACAAUUUACAAAAUAAUUUUUAAACAUUAACAUUUUAGUUACUAACUACUUUAAAACUAAUAAUUUAAUUUAAACUUAAUUAGUAAUUAAAAUAUUGAUACUAAUAUUAAAUAUCAAUUUAAAAAUAAUUUUAUAAAUUUUUAUUAACAAUAAAAUUUAUUUUAAAUAUUUAAUAAUCUUUUAAUUUAUAAAAUAGCAUCUAAUAACACUGAUUCUUUUCUUUAAAUGGAAGAAAAUUUGAAAAAAAAUAUGGUGCUAAACAAAAUUGAAUAUGCAAGUUUCACUAAAUGAAAUUAUGUGGGGAUGAACUAAAUAAUUAACUCGAAAAAACAAAUAAUUGAAAUGGUUGCACCUAUAAUCAUGAUUGAAAAAGGACACGUAAAUGGCAUUAAAGUAUGCAAUAGGUAGAUAUUAAAGCAUAUUGAUGUCAGUUUCUGAAAAAAUAACACCCCAAUUCCACACCACUGUUUCUUACUUGUUUCAUAAAUACUAUUUAUUUAUAUUUUAUCCUUUCAUUUUUUUCUUUUUUCUUUAGGGUUCUAAGCUCUGUUAACUUCAUAACUUUGGCAAGAAUCAUGGCAUGAGGCAUGCAACAAGAAAAAAAUUAAAUUAAAUGUCUUAUACGUCUCUCUCUCAACUCAAUUUUAUAAGUAAUAAAAUGUAUAAAUUUGGUGGAUAAUUUUAAUCAAUUCAACCCACUUGUUUUUUUAGAGUCUUGUUUAGGAUACUGUUUAAAAGGUUUAAAAAAAAAAAUAGAAAUCAUAAAGAAUUUUUUUCGCCUAUACUAAGAAAAUGAUUGACAUUUUUGCUUUUAAGUUAUAUUUGAAUCUAAAAAAAUCAAGACAGAUAAACUACAUCUUGUCUUUGUCUUGAGGAUAACUAAGAAAACAAAAUUAUUUAAACUAGAAUCUAAAUUUUACUUAAUUUUAUUUAACGAACUUAUAAGAUAAAAUUUGUACUAUUUAUAUAUUAUGAAAUAAUUUAAUUUGUAGUUAAUAAAAAAUCUUUAACACAUUUUUUCACUUUAUAUGUUAAUAAGUUAAAACUAUUAACUGAAACUAUAUAUUAUUGAAUAGAACUAUAUAUUAAUGAAUCAUCCGAUAGUAAUUCAAUAUAUAGAAGGUAACAAUAAAAUUAACAAACUUUUUUUUUUUCAGAUGAGAUAUAUAAAAUUAAUAAUAAGUUUAAUUUAACUUUCAUCUCAAAUGUAUAGCUGAGGUUAAAACCAAGUUUUUAAUCUUAAAAUAACUUAUACUAAAAAAUUCUUAAAACAACUGAAUCUUUAAUUUUACUAAUAAAGACAUUUCAUACAUACUGUAUUCUCUUUAACUAAAACAACUUAAUCUAAUAUUAAUAUUUGUAGUUGUUGUUUUUAGUGUAAUUGAAUUCCUUGUUUUUUGUGCAGGACGGUUACUGCAUAUUCAAAACUUUCUCCUAACAGAUAAUAAAAACCAAUUAAUUUUUUGAAUAGAGCAGCUACUACUACCUUACACAACACCUCUAUUCAAUAUGCAACCACCCAGCCAAAAGAAUAAAUUGCCUCACAUCUUUUUUUCAUCUCAAAACAUUAACAAAUAUGGGAUUAAGAGAGUUUCAUAUAACCCUUAAGGUAUGUCCAUUCUUCAUUGUUCUAUUGAGGUUAUUUGAAGUUCAUCACAAAUAAUCAUUACCUUUACACAUUUUCUUGUAGCUAAGAACAAACCUUUAGAUAUAGUUACAUAUAUUUAAUGAAUCUUUCAUACUGCAAAUUAGUGAGAUGAAGCUCUAAUCUUGAUUGAAGAAACAAAACCAAAAGUACCUGAGUUUUGUUGUUUUGGUAAAUGCUUGUUCAUAUGAAUGAAUGGUAAUCUUUCCAUUGACUUGAACAGGCAUUUCGGGUGAAACGUUUUUUCUUUGGAAGAAGGAGAAAUAAAUGGAGUGCAAACAAGCCUUCAUGGAUGAUUCCAAUAUCACAUGGCCAUCAUGUGGUGGAGCAUCACGUGAUCAAAGGUGGUUCUGAUGACUCAGAGUUUGAUUCAGUUGUGAUACAGAGGGAACAGAUGGAUCACACAGAACUGUGGUAUUUUGGAAUUUUUGAUGCUGUAGUUGGAGAUGGAGUUACCAAGUAUGUGCAAUCCCAUUUCUUUGGCAAGAAGCUCAAAGAGGUGAGAAAUCAAUAUAAGUAAUAAUGCUCAUGAAUGGUUAUUAGUGGCAUAUAUUCUCAUUUAUCAAAUUUAGACAUUCAUUAUGAAAGAGAGGUAGAGAACAAAGCUUAAAAUUUCAAUUUGGCUUCAUAGAUUUUAUUACUCAAUUAUCAUUAUAUUAUACAUUUCCAGUAAAAUGUGUGGAAAAAAGCUGAUAGCUAUAUAUGCAAUUAAGCCAAAUAUCCACAAUACUUCACCUAAGGAUUAUUCUAAGAUGAUCAUCUAUAUUUCUGGCCUCUGGUGUGUUUGUGAUGUUUCAACUACAUGUUAGUGUCAUAUGAGGAGAAAGAGCAAAGAAACACUGAAGAGAGCUUACCUCGGUGUGAGAACAAAGAUCAGAGAGGCACUGAAGCCAGAGGAGGAGAUAUGCAGAAUAGGUUCAACAUCAGUGAUGGUGAUAAAUGGAGAAAAGCUUGUGAUAGCCAACAUGGGAGAUUACAGAACUGUUUUGUGCAGAGAUGGUGUUGCUUAUCAGACAACUGGCAGAUACAAUCAAUCAGCCAAGAGAAACUGGUACAACAAACUCUUCUCAGGUAUCAAUCACUCACAUAUUUUUUUCAUUAUCAUUUGAAAGAUCCAAUCAAGAACAUUUCAUUAUAUACAUGUGGAUGCAAACAUAAAUCACAUAAAUCUUAUAAACUGGUUUUAUGGGUUGAGUAAGGUUAAAGUAUACAUAUUAAUUUAUUUGUUUUUGUUCACAUAUCUCAUAAUGAAUGCUAUGCAUGUGCACAAAAGCACGCACGAUUGCUUGUGAAUCAGGCAACACAACAGGCACAAAGCAUUCUAAAGGCUCAGAACUUGUGGUGGGAGGUGAUAGAAUCGACUCUGAUACUGAAUUUUUGAUCCUAGCAAGCAAUGGCAUAUGGGAAGUAAGUCCUAGAAGAUUAGGUAACUCAUAACCAUAGUUGGUCACUAGAAAACAGUGGAUCAUGAAUCUCAAUAUGUGUUUGCAGGUGAUGAAGAACCAAGAGGCUGUGAAUCUCAUAAGACACAUAGAAGAUCCACAAGAAGCAGCUGAUUGCUUGGCAAAGGAAGCUUUGAUUAGGAUGAGCAGAAGCAAAAUUUCAUGCUUAGUCAUUCGCUUUGACUGAUAUGUCACCAUAGUUGGUUUAUCCUAGUUGCAGCAGUUGCAGCACUGUAGAGAGCACUUUAUGAGUUCAAUACACAACUAGAUUAUCAAGGUGUUUGCAGAUUCAUCAUCUCAAAACUCAAGAAAAAUGGGCCUAGUAAUGACCAAUGUGGUUGAUGAAAAAUUAAGUAUUUUUUUUUCUGUAAUUCAUAAGUGAUUUGCACUAAUGUUUACAGAUUUUUUUUAUAAGCUAAUUUGGUUUACAUUACUAUUUAAUUACUACUUUAAUGUAAUUUUAUUUAUAAUACAUAUUAUUUGACAUACACAAAAUAAAAUGAACCAACUCUAUUUUGAUACUUCAUCCUGAAUUAUUAUAAAAACCAGACAAACUUAUUAUACCCCUCCUAUAUAAAACUGAAACAACAAAUAAUAUGUAACUAUAACUAUAUUAUCAAAAUGUAAGUAUUGAAUAAAAAUAUAUUUACUUAUUAAUUCUUUUGGUAUAAUCCAAUAGAAAAUAAAUAUAUGAAAUGUCUCAAAGUAGUUUUGAGAUUAUGAGAUCCUUUACUGAAUAAGAUCAUCCAAAAUUAAAAUGUUACAAAUUAAAAACAGCGGAUCUAGUUCCUGCUAAAUUUCCCUAUGACUUACCCAGAAACUGAAACUGAAGUUGAGAAAAAAACAAGAGUUUAGAAUAAGAAUGACUUGUUCUUGCAUAUACGUUUAUUUUUAAACUUCACAAAUCAAUAGUAUUAAGUAUUAUAGCGAGAUUAUGGUGAGUGUGAUCAUGUGUAGUAAUGAAAAGUGUAAUAUGAUUGUAGCCCUUUUGUAUGCUCAUUUUUUGGUGUCUUGUGCAUACUUUAGGUAAUAUAUGCAUCAUUUUCUCUGUAUCCACUUUCAAGGCUUCAUUCGCUGCUCAUCACCAAACAAAGUUUAGUGUUAUAUCUUUGGUGUCUCUCAGAAUUUUUCUCCUUAGAUAUUUCAUUCUUUAUCAUUUAAGCUUCUGCAGUACCAUGUCCUUUAACAUAAUCCAGAAUAAUGAUUUAUCUGACAUUUCAGUUAUUGCAAGUGUGCUUCUUAAAUAUUUCUAUUUUGUACUUAAUCUGUUUUCAUUUUGAUUUGAUUACUUAAUCCUGCAACAUGCUAAAUAAACAUCUAUAAUGCCCUUGCUUCCUUCAAAUUUCAAGCUCUCCACUUGCUAAAUCUCAUUCUUUACCUCAAAAGAUUCACUAUCUCAUCUUCUCUUACUCUCUUUUCCUUCACUCAUGCUUUUAUGUAAUCAUAUUCUACUUAAAUUGUAGUAUUUGAAAAAAAAUUCUUUCUACCUCUCCAAAAACUAGUUAAUUUGUUUUAACUUUUUAAACAUUAAAAGAUAAUGCAGUUAUAGAAUAUGUAUGGUUAUUGAGACUUUUGCAAGAAAAAAUAGAGGCAACUUUACUAUAAUCAAUUGUAUUAAACCAAACCACCCACUUUUAUUUAUUAUUGUGUCAAAUUACAUGAAGAUAGGAAAGAAAGACAAGAAAGAAAACACAAACAUCAGACUUGUUACAUUGGGAGAGGAAUGAGGCUUCCAAUCCUAAUGUUACAUUAAAGAGACAGAAGUAAACUUUGGCAAUGAAAGCUUUAUUUGUAGCAUAUUAUGCGACCAUGUUUUGUGAUGAGACUAAGGUGGUUGAUGAUGAUGGUGAACCCUUCUUUAGCUGACAGGCAAAAUGCCUCUAAGACAUGUCCAACCAUCAAGGAUAGGCCUCACAUCACCCAGAAGAACGUCAUCAUAUGCAUCUGGGGUGAAUUUCAUACGCACAUACUCAUCUCCUUUGAAAAGGUAAGCUUCAGACUCUUCAUGGGAAGCAAAACACGCAUCAAUUCCACUUUCAAAGAUCGUACCUUUCAAAACAGGAAACCCAUCAGCAAUGUUACGAAUGGUGCCAACAAGCUGCUUGGAAUCAUAGUCUAUGCGAGCAUACUGAUUGCCCUUGAAUAAGUAAACUUCUUUUCCUUUGGUUGAUCUGAAUGCAGAGUCUAUGCCAUUCUCAAACACUGUGUUUUUUAGGACGGGAAACAUCUUAGCAAUUGUGGUAGGACCUGAGAGAAUCUUGUCAUUUGUUGUACCUGGAGCAUAGUCUAUGUAGGCACAGUAUUUGGUUGAGAACACAUAUGCUUCAUUGCCUUCAGUGACGAAUGCACAGUCCAUUCCAGGUUCUGCAAAGAACGUUGCUUCAAGUGAAGGAAAACCACUACUAAUCAAACGCAGAUUAGUCAAAAUCUUAUCAUCUGUUGAUCCUGGAGUGUAAUGCACCCGCACAUACUUAUCCUUCAUGAAGAAAUAUACUUCAUAGUCUCUUGAUGAACGAAAUGCAGCAUUGAUGUAAGCCAUCUUUCUUAACACAAGAGAGAGAU